rnacentral:lncRNA from 1 species
UCUUAUUGUGGGCCUCCUGUGGUAUAUGGGAACAUUAGUGGAUCAUGUGUGAGACAAGACAUCUGGGUGUUCUGAUUGACGUUGUUAUGCUGACAUUAGUGUGGUUAACUCAGGGCAAACGUCCUGUUACUCUUUCAGGCACAUAGCGGUGUACAUUGCUAGGUGCCUGUUAUUGGUCUAGCCAUGGUCUUUUAGUUCUUGACAUCAUAGCUCCUUUCGUUUCUUUGUGGUGUCGUUAGCUAUUUCUCACAGGACAUUUUAACCCUGUUACUUACUGGUUGUGAGUCUGCGCUGUUGGUGCACACAAGUUAUCCCAAGUUCCAGCUUGGUCAUGCGUCGUUGAGGUGUCAAUCAGAAGUCGGUCAUCCAACUUGAGCUCUGAACUGUCGAUGCGAAGUAGUAGUUGCUAGGGCUUUCAACUAGUAGAGGUGAACUGGAUAUAUUGUGCCAAUAAUGUGCAGUGAGCUGCAUUGUGCUAUGCAUAUGCAACCUUCCUCUUGCAUCAUGCCUAGUAGUCGCUGGGGCUUUUUGGUAUUGGUCGUGAACUGGAUAUUGGUCUGUCAAUAAUGUGCAUUGAGCUGCAUUGUGCUACGCAGUCUAGCUCUUGCAUCAUGCCUAGGCAAUGUGCAUGUAUGUCAUUGUCCUCGCUUAAAUUCUGCCGGAUAUGUCCAAGUUGACAAUGUAUUGCUGAAUAAACAGAGUUUAUCUGCUGGUAUCUGUGCUGGACAAGGGAUGCCAGUAGACACUGAACUGUUAUUUGCUGCCUCAUUGUUGAUUGUCAACGGUCUUUCCCUUGGUUCACUCUGCUAUCUAUAUGCAUCUUUAUGUUGUAUAUAUGCUUUCUACUAUAAUUUUUGUUACGCGUUUUCUUUUUUUGAUGAUUACAAUAUUAGAAGUAUUAGAAGUGAUUCUGAAUUAUUUGUGAUAUGUUAUUUAACUCAUGUGAAAAGAAGUCUCAUAUCCAUUCUGGGUUUGUUUUUUCAAAGCUAUAUUUAUGGCGAUCUAUGUCUGUUUUACAGUAGUUAUUACAAAUGGGUAAUCCCUCCUGUCAUGUUGUCAAAUGUUUUGAAAGUUCGACGCUUGCAACAAAGAAGAAAAGGGGAAAUGCAAUCAUGAGAAUUGAACCCCGUUGGCUGUUGCCUUGUGUUUUUUUUUUGAAACCGAGGCAAAAGAGUUGCCUCAUAUAUUAAUUAAGAGAAUAAUAGAGUUUAUUAGGGCUACAACACACUCCACCGCCAUACAAAGGGAUUACUCUGCUGGCAUGAUUGAAUGCAACUUCUUAGCCCCGGCGGCAACCCAAAGUGCCGCCUCCCCUUUGAUGAGUGCUAGAAUUACAAAUAGUGGUGCACUAUUGUGGUGUAACACCCGUGCAUUAUGCUCGUUCCAGAGGGCCCAAGAGGUGAGCAAGGCAAGGGAGGCCAACACCUUCCUAUUGGGGGCGUAGGAGUCGGAGAGCGCGAUCAUUCACUCUUUGGUGGAUUCAAAAUGAUGCCAGACAAAGGUGUCGAUGCUUUCGAGUUGCAGCCAUUCCUUGGUCAUGCCCCAAAGCUGAAUGGAAAACUGAGACAAAGGUGUCGAUGCUUUCGAGUUGCAGCCAUUCCUUGGUCAUGCCCCAAAGCUGAAUGGAAAACUGACAUCUGAAAAUAAGGUGAUUGACUGUUUUCUGCUCACGCCUACAAAGGGGACAAAGGCCAUAGUUUGGCCAUCCACAUUUGGCCAAUCUGUCCGCUGUCCGCACUCUAUUUUGAACUGUCAACCAAGCGGAGAACUUUAUUUUAAAGGGGCCCAAACUUUCCAUAUCACUUGUUCCAAUGGCGAGCGAAGCAUGCCAUGGAACUGUGCCUUGUAAGCAGAAGCUGCAGAGUAGAGCUCACUGUCAGUGUGUUUCCACACAAUUUCAUCCUCCAUGUCAUGUUGCAGCUGGAAGCCUCGAAUGCUAGCCCAAAGAUGGAGGAAUUGAUGGAAGUGAGCAAUCGAGAAAUUGUUGGACAGUUUGAUUUUGGAUAUCCAAGCAUUGUCCAAAAGGGCCUCUUUGAUUUUUCAAUUCUUUCGUACAGUUGCAUUAUAGAUGAUCGGAGCAAUGUCUUUGGGCUUUCUACCUUGCACCCAAGGAGCAUCCAAAAAGGCGUGCGGGCACCAUUGCCGAUAAUGAUGGUUGUGAAGGCGUAGAAGAGAUCAGUCCUUGUUGUCACACCGGUUUCUCAAACCAACCCACAUCUUAGACGGCUCCUUCCACUCAAAUCAAGGCCAUCUCAACCUAAAGGCCCCUGCUAAUUUUUCCGUGUUGAGCACACCUUCAUAUCUAUCUAUCGAACCACUGCUGCCGGCGAAACUCGUCUCUGCAGACUACAUGGUCUUGUAAACUGAGAGUGGCAACGGGCUCUGUCCGGUCCGUGAUACGCCUUUCUUUAGUCCGUAGUUGGGGCAGCAUGGGACGAGUCAAAGGACGUUGUCCAGGAAAUAUUCAAACGCUCCUGAAUCAGACGCAGUCCAGUGUUACUAUAGCGCAGCGUAUACUUCUUGUGCGCCAUGCAUGCGAAUAGUGGCAGUGUGUGUUUUCUGCGCUCUCUCCAUACCAAUUUUGUAGUGCCAUCGCAUUCAGGUGAUAAAUUUUUGCUCCCCUGUGCCAUCUUUUAUGGACAAGACUGUGACUGUCAUGCAACGGGCACAGGAGUGCUAUUUAUUUUCUGGUGCCAUCGCAUUCAGGUGAUAAGUUUUGCCCCCCGUCCCCCCUGCGUCGUCUUUAGUUGUCGACAAGUUUGUGACUGUCAUGCCACGGGAGCGGGAGUGUGCCUGACUGAAAAGUUGAACGUAGACGCACAAGCAAAAAAUACGUACGUUACCACGUCUUCUUCCCCUAAUUCCCUCGGCAAUGAUGUAUCUGCAGCAUGCAAGCCCACCAUCCUGUAGACAGUACAUGUACAUGUACCAUACGGUCCAUACGUGGUACUAGAUCAUGAUGGAAUCGGAUCAUACGUUUGGCAUCUGGCCCUUCCGACGGAGAAACAGAAGCGCGCACUGCUCACAUCGACAGCUCUUGUGCGCGACUGUAGCAAUGGCAGCGGCGGUACACGCCGAGCCGAGGUUCAGUGACGGGGCCGAGCACCUGCGCGGGCGCGGCGAGGCUGGCCAUGAUGGGUGACCCUCCUGCCGGCGUCUGCAACAACAGCAGCAGCGACAGCAGCCCGGUGUCUGUCGCAGCGACGCAGGGAACUCUGAGCUCCGCAUUCAAUUCCACGAGAGAGCCCAGCGCAGCACAGCGCAGCGCGCGCGCGCACACACAUGCAAGCACGUACGUACUCCUACUCCUUUUCCUUUGCUCAAAAUCCGAGCUAGGGGUACCCUCGGAGGCCAGAGGGUUCAUUUAAAGUCACUGCUUUCUCUUGCCUGGUGCACGUCUUCAUCUCGUCGGCCCUUUGCGAGCCCCAUUUACUCCCCCCCUCGCUCGCUGUACGACUCCCCACUCAUCACCCUCCAUGCUGCCUCUGCGCGUAGACGCGGCUAUGUAGGAGUAGGAGUACGUACGUACGGCGCUGCUACGCUCACGGCCAGAGCCCCGACCCCCGAAGCACCACCACUCCGUCGUACUUGCACUGAGCCAAUGUGAGCCCGAGAGAGUAGGGCUAUGGUGCGGCGUGUGGAUCUCUGGUGGUCUCCAUGCUAUGUUUUCUCUUCCGGCAGCGGUCCCUUGCUAAUGGCAGGGCAUCUUCUCACAAAAAUGCUCGUAAAUAUUUGGACCUGAUCGUCCCGUCAUUUUUAGCCAUCCAAUGAAGAUAAUCAAUCGGACUGGACCACUACCGACAUUUGAAAUCCCACAAAUCACCUACAAAUCGGUGAGACCUCCGGGAGGAGUACGGACACCCGUCACGUUAGACUCCCAACACCACAGAUCCACCCCCGAGUCUGCAUAUUUUCAGUCAUGUCCUCCUCGUCCGCUCUCGGAGACCGACGACGCCCCAUUACCCUCCUCCCACGCCGACUAGGCCUUGCCGGACCUUCGCAGCUCCACCCGUGUUCAGCCCGCCAGACCAACGCCCCCGCCACACUCCGUCGGAUCCGGCUGCCGCCUAGGUACCCUUCACCCCUGCCGACGCCAUCCCAUAUUCGGUUAGAUGCCAUAGUGAAGUCUCUUGAUGUUCUCAUCUUUUUCUUUGAAGCAAACACAAUAGCUUUCUAUGAGGAGUACUUCUAUGCCUAGUUCAUGAAUUUGUCUUCAUUGGAUCAAGAAGAUGGUGCUGAAGGCGAUUCUUGAAGAAAUGGAGCGUGCGACAGAGCAUGUUCUAAACUUCAAGGUUUCAACAUCCGGACAUCGAAUGUUAAAUUGGGUCAGACAUGGGGCAGAUUAUUUUCUACGAUGACUAUUUUACCUCUGAUGUGCUAUGCGAACCCUAUUUUUGCACACCAAUUUUGGAUGCAACGACCAUUGUUCGUGUGCAUCAUGUAAAGAGCCAAGUCCUAUGAUGAUUACGUCAGGACAAAGAUGGAUGCCAUUGGUCGCCUUGGUUUUCUGGUCUCCAGAAAAUCACCGAUGCAAUGAGGAUGUUUUGUGUAUGGCACCGUUGCAGAGUGGGAGAGGUACCUCCGGAUGUCUGAGAGCACACGCUAGAAGUUAUGGUUAAAUUUUCUACUGCAGUGGUCUGAACCGGAGUACUUGAGAGAACCAAAUGUUGAAGACACAACAAUGCCCAUGGCAUAUGGAGAAUCUAGAUGAUUUCCAUUUAGAGCAUCUCUAGCCGUUCGCCCCCCGCCCCCCCCAAGGGCUUGAAAUAGCGUCGCCUAGGGGCGAACCGGCGAUAAUUUUGGCGCUGGGGCGGGAGGUUUUCCAGCCGCCUCCCCACGUUCGCCCCAGACGCCCUUUUUUAAAUAAUACUCGUCCAAACACAACACAUAUUCGACGAAAUUUAGGCGUUCUAUAGUUUUUUUACAUAUAGUUGAAAACAUAAUUUAAAAACGAAAAAAACAAUGACUACUGUGACGCCGCCCGCCGCGCCGUCCGUCAGCCGCGCCUACAAGCCGAAGAGCUUCCGGAAGGCUCUGUAGUCGCCGCCGUCGUCGUCCUCUGCCUCCUUCUUCACGCUGCCGCCCUGUCCUUGGUACACCCCUGUCCCGAGUUGCCUUGGGGGACCGGUUUGGUCGACGGCGGUACCUCGUCAUCGCUGUCCUCGAGGACGAUAACGCCGUCCUCGUCACGGCCGCGGCGCCGAGCGGCGAUCUCCUCGAGGGGGCGAUGCUGGCGCUCCAUCUCCACCGGCGAGAGAGGGGGCGCCUUUAAGAGCGGUGGGGAGCGACAGACGUGUGUACGCGUGGCGUGCGUCGCCGCUCCACCGCGCCACCCGUGAGGAAUUAAUGGAAGGCUGACCGGCGACAGCCUUGGCAUUGAUUCCCCGCGGGAAACCGAGGCGAUGAGGUAGACGAAACGCGCCCGUUCACUGACUCGGCGGGCCCGCCAGGUUUUCGUGCCAACAACGUUUCCCCUGGCGCCCCCAGCAUGCCGGGUUCGGCCUGGGUUCACCGGCACCAAAUUCAGCCCUAACCAACAAAAAAUGGGCUUCUGGGGGCAUGACAGGGCCGAUUUUGGGCGCCGGCAAUAAAAAAGGGCCCUGGGGGGCUUGUUGGGGGCGUGACUGGAGAUGCUCUUAUGCUCGAAUCCCUAGAUUGAUAACUAGAAAAUGAAGAAUUGCCAACAAGGGAAGUAUGAGCCAUAAAAAGCCCUUCUUCAUUCUUGAAGCAGUUGCAUCACGAUCACUAGAUUUGAAAUCUUUCUUUGUCAUGCCAGGGCUCACAAUGACAUCAACAUGCUACAAUGGUCUCCAUUAUCUGCACGAUUGUGUGCUUACAAAGCCCCUACGUGCAACUGUAUCAUCAAUGGACAUGGGUAUAACAAGAGGUACUAUCCUUUUGAUGCUAUCUAUCCUCCAUUGACGACCUAUGUCAAGACCAUCUCCGAUUCAAUAGGUCACAAAAUUUCACUUUGGUACAAUACAAGAAAGUGCUAGAAAGGAUGUGGAGAGGGCAUUUGGGAUGCUCCAAGACCAUUUUGUAGUUGUUUAUAGACCUGCUAAACAAUGUGAGGUUAUGACAUGUUGUGUGACCAUGCAUAACAUGAUUCUGAAGGAUGUGGGUGAGACAAUUCGUCAAAGUUAGGAUUUUCAACAGAUGGGUGAUCCUAUCCAGUUUCAAGAACAGAAUCCGGUGAAUUUUGAGCAAUUUCUGGAACCGCAACAUCAGAUUCAUAAUCAAGGAACUCAUACACAUCUUUAGGAUGAUUUGAUUGAGCAUUUGUUGGAAUUUCAUAUGGACAAUCAGAACAUGUGUUUAAAUCAACUGAAUUUAAAUUUGAACUUUUAUGUUCCACAACUUUAUGUUUGGACAUUUGCAGACAAAAUUGUAUCGAGCUAAAAUGUGAGUUAAUCGCUAAGGAACAGGGCCCGGAGAGACUAGGGUUAUGAUGCAUUGUGUGUGAUGGUUUCCUUGCAAUGUUUUUCUUUUUCUUUUUAUCAACAACCUCCUUGCUAAGUUAGUGUGGCGCUAUUGAUUCCGUUUGACAUUCAAACAUACUAGAAGGAUUGUAUGCGCUUUGCUGCGUUGUUGGGUUUCUUAAAAAAAUCACCAUGUUUUAAAAUAUAAGAAGUAUUAGUUUUUUCAAAAGUCAAACCUUUCAAGUUUGACCAAAUUUAUAGAAAAAAUAUAUCACAAUUCAUAAUAUCAUAUUGGUACGAUUAGAUUCCUUAUGCAAUGACUUUCCAUAAUGUUCUGUUCAAUAUUGUGGAUGUCGAUAUUUUUACUCUGAACUUGGUCAAAGUUAAAGAAAUUUGACUUUCCAAAAAACUAAUACCCCUUAUAUUUUGGAAUUGAUGGAAUAUUUAGUUUGGUGGGUGGGCGAGAUGAUAGAGUGUGUUUUAUUUUUAUUUAUAAUGUGGUGAUCUGAUGGGCCUUUUGUGGUGUGAUUCCGUGCUAUCCACUAACCAACAUAUAUUUAUGUGGGGAAAUUUCCGUGUCGAUGGCUGCAUGUACUAUAUCGGUGCUACAAUAUCACAUGGUAACACUUCUUUUUUGUAGGUGGUGGGAGGGUGCGCCGGAUUGAUAUGUUUUUAUAGGCCGGCUGCUGCUGAUUGAUAUGAGAAAUCGUUGGCUUGAUUAAUAUCGUAAACCAAAUUGAAAAUUGAAUACCUUAGUUGAAUGAAAAAACUUCAAAAUUAGGUAACAUGGUGAACUAAAAGAACCGUAUGGGAGAGCUUGAGAAACUGUUGACCCUACCAAAAUCGGGUAGUCUAAUUCUAAAUUGAAUAUAUCAAUUAAUUGUUAGGCCUUAAAAAUUAAAAAGCAUAGUGUAUAAUAUAAAAGAAUUGAACGAGAGAGCUUUGACAAAUUUUCGACCGGGUCAAAAUCGGGUGACCUAAUUAUAAUUCUAAAUUGAAUAUCUUGAUUAAUUUUGAGGCUUUAAAUUUUAGAAAGUAUAGUAUAUUGUAUAAAAUAAUUAAAUGAGAGAGCUUUGAGAAAUUCUUGACCCGGUCAAAAUUGGGUGACCCAAUUCUAAUUGGAGACCUCAAUUAAAUGUUAGCUCUUUAAAACUAGAGAGCAUAGUGUUAUAGAGGAUUAGAACAAACAUAGUUCCCUAGUUGACAAACAAGAAGGGCCUCUUUGAUUCACAAGAUUCUAAAAACACAGGAAUAGGAAAAACAUAGGAUUAAAAUGUUAUGCUCAUCUCAAUCCUACAUCAUUUUGGUUGUUUGAUUGCAUCGUAGGAAAAGCAAAUGAUUCUUUCAAUGAUGUUUGAGUGAAUGCUAGAAAUUCUAUGGGAAGUAAUAUAAAAAUAUCCUUAGGAAAAGUUCGUACAGGAUUCAAUCCUAUGAACCAAACAACCAACAUAGGAAAAAAUCCUAAGGAUUCUAAUCCUCCAAAAUUCCUAUGAAAAUCCUUUAUCAAAGGAGUCCGAAAUUUACCUAAUUGAUUUGAGGAGCACGUUUAGGUGCUAGGGAGUAUCUGCUCCCUAUGAUGAACACUAAAAUUAGAAGUAAUAGUAAAAAAAUAAAAAAAAACUGAAUUAUAUUGGCAUAAAAUAUGAAUAAGAUUUUAAAGGGCAUACAAGAUUUCAUGGCGAGUGGGCAUCGGAGGAGUUGUAGAAAAAAAAUCAGCGUUUUGAGAAGGGGUAAAAAAUUCGUCUUUGGAGCAAUGAUUUUUCCCAUCGCGAGCUCCUCCAAUAUCAAAUCGCCGUGGAAUUCUGCACGCCCUUAGAAAACUUUUUCAUCUUUGAUGUGUACAAAUUCCAUAUUUUCACCAUUUUACACACUUUUACUCUUCACCCGAGAGCAUCUGUGCUCGUGAUCAGCUAUGGAUUAUCGAAUUGAUGUUGCCUAGUUUACCUUAUUAUUUCUUUCAUAGCUAUUUUUCGAAACAAGUAUUGCAUGACAUGGUUUAGCAACCAUAAACUGAAUUUUAGAGGAGUCUAGAGGUAGCCCUAGGCAUUCGGUUAGACCGGGUCAAUCGGUUCGGGAGGUAUCUCAUGACUCUGCUAGAGUUGCUUUUAGGUUAGAGGUGAAAGUGCAUGCAACCCUCAUGUGUGAUUUUGGUAAUUAUCUUUGUAUAAGAUGCAUCAUUUGCUGGGGGAUGAGCAAACCUCUAAGUUUGAGGGAGUUGAUGAGUCCAAUUUUUGUGUUUUUUGCAUCUCUUAUUUCAUUUUGUUGCUAUAAGAUUCUUUGGAUUUUAUUGCAUCCGUGCACCUCUUUUAUAUGUUUUCGCCAGGUUGUCACAUACGGGACAUGGGAGCAUAUUCGAGUUUAGGGAAAUAACACCUAGAAAUGGUAAUGAAAUCACACUAGUCAAUGUGAUAUUACAUUACCAUACAAUAAUAAAGAAUAAGGGAGAUGAUGAGGACAUCGCUACCACAGUUACACCCAUAACCCCCGCUGCUACACAUAUUGGACCAAUUACUAGAGCUCGCGCACGCCAAUUCAAAUAGCAAGUACUUUCAUUUCUUGGUAAUGAUUCUAAUGUUCAUGAGAAUAUGGUGUUGCCUAGAUUGAAUAAAUUUGUUUUGCUUACGAAUGAAGGCCCUAGCAUAGACAAGAGGAAUGAACAUUGGAGUACGGUCAAGCGUGGAGAUGAAGGCGCACGCGAAGGAAGAAAGGAUGGAGUUUCCAAUGGAGUUUUCUGCACUUUAAAGCCACCAUGAUGACACACAAUGACAUGGGACAAAAUAUACAAGAUGACCUUUCAUAAAUUUCGUCCAUAGUUUAUUAUAGGUGUUGCGACACCUUAUUUUGGGCCAGGCCAUGUAAUUUUAAAAUACUACUUCAUAGGCUAUUUUUAGAGUCCGUAUUGUAGGGGAAAUGACUCAGGAGGUGUUUUAGUCCCACCUUGCCAAGGGUGGAUGAAAUCCCCUCUAUAAAUACAACCCUUAAAGCAUUGUUUAGACUUGGUUUUUGUUGAGAUUAAAGUUUGCCAUAGUUGCAACUCGCAUAUUUCAUUUGUGUCCAAUGACCAUGCCAAGACAUUUCAGAACCCCACAUUCCUCAAUAAAGCUUUCCUCUUACAUUUGCAAUAUCCAGAUUGCAAUCUCUAUUUCUUGCUUGUUCUCUGUUUGCAUGUAGGAAAUAGACCCUCGUGGUCAGCUUGAUCGUGCUCCAGCGUGAUCAAUAACUUCUCAGAGUUGGUUUAGCGAUUGCUAAGGCGUGACAUCUCCACAUGUGAUACGUCUCCAAUGUAUCUACUUUUUCUCAUGCUUUUCCUCUUGUUUUGGACUCUAAUUUUCAUGAUUUGAAUGAAACUAACCCCGGACUGACGCUGUUUUCCAGUAGAACUACCAUGGUGUUGUUUUUGUGCAGAAAUAAAAGUUCUCAAAAUGGAAUGAAACUUUUCGAGGAAUUUUUAUAUAAUAUAUAAGAAUUUCUGGAGCCAAGACCUACCAGAGAGGGCCCCCUGGGUGGGCACAACCCACCAGGGCGCGCCCCCUCUCCUGGCACGCCCAGCUAGGUUGUACCCACCUGGUGGCCCCACAGACCUCAACCCUGACACUAUAAAUUCCUAUUUUCGGAAAAAAUAGGGAUAAAGGAUUAUCACGAUCCACGAGAUGGAGCCGCUGCCAAGCCAUGUUCUUCCUCGGGAGGGCAGAUCUGGAGUCCGUUUGGGGCUCCGGAGAGGGGGGUCUUCGUUCUUUGUCAUCACCAACCCUUCUCCGUCGCCAAUUCCAUGAUGCUCUCCAUCGAGAGUGAGUAAUUCCUUCGUAGGCUCGCUGGUCGGUGAGGAGUUGGAUGAGAUUCAUCAUGUAAUCGAGUUAGUUUUGUUAGGGCCUGAUCCCUAGUAUCCACUAUGUUCUUAGAUUGAUGUUGCUAUGACUUGGCCAUGCUUAAUGCUUGUCACUUUGGGCCCGAGUGCCAUGAUUUCAAAUCUGAACCGUUUAUGUUAUCAUCAUUAUAUCCAUGUUCUAGAUCCGAUCUUGCAAGUUAUAGUCAUCUACUACGUGUUAUGAUCCGACAACCCUGGAGUGACAACAAUCGGGCCCACUCCCGGUGAUGACCGUAGUCUGAGGAGUUCAUGUAUUCACUAUGUGUUAAUGCUUUGUUCCGGUUCUCUGUUAAAAGGAGACCUUAAUAUCCCUUAGUUUCCAAUAUGGACCCCGCUGCCACGGGAGGGUAGGACAAAAUAUGUCAUGCAAGUUCUUUUAAUAAAGCACGUAUGCCUAUUUACGGAAUAAAUGCCUACAUUAUAUCGAUGAACUGGAGCUAGUGCCGUAUCACGCUAUGUUAUAACUGUCACAUGAUGAAUAUCAUCCAACAAGUCACCGAUCCAAUGCCUGCGAACUUUUCCAUAUUGUUUCUGCUAAGUUACUACUGCUAUCAUCACUGUUACACUUGCUACAGAAUUACUAUUAUCAUUGUUACUGUUACUAUUGCUGCUGCUACUACUAUCAAAACUAUCAAACUACUUUGCUACUGAUCACUUUGCUGCAAAUAAUUAAUCUCCUGGUGUGGUUGAAUUGAUAACUCAGUUGCUAAUACCUUCAAAUAUUCUUUGGCUCCCCUUGUGUCGAAUCUAUAAAUUUGGGUUGAAUACUCUACCCUCGAAAACUGUUGCGAUCCCCUAUACUUGUGGGUUAUCAAGACCUUUUUCUGGCGCCGUUGCCAGGGAACAUAGUUAUAUUUGUCGAGUCACUUGGGAUUAUUAUCAUAUUAUCACUAUGAAGAAUCUGAAGGAUCCAAAGACUAAGAUAUUUCCCUCAAGGACGAGGGGAGGUAAGGAACUGCCAUCCAGUUCUGCUUUAGAUUCACCUUCUGUUAUGAAUAAACUUGCAAUACCACCACAUGCUAUUAAUUCUGAUAUGUAGCAAGUUAUUGAUGGUGCUACUUCUACUAUGAAUGAUGCUAGUACCUUGCUUCAUAAUGAUGAUGUGCCACUUGGUGAAUUUCUUGAUAAACAAAUUGCUAGAGUUAUACAACAUGAUGUUGUUGAAUCUGAUGAUGAGCUUGAAACUGAAUCUCCUGAAACACCUGCUAGAACUAGCCUUCCUAGAUAUGAAUUGCCUAAGGUACCGGAAGGUUUUGUAAUGAGUGAAUAAACAACUAGAGAUAUUCUUGCUUGUAUUGAUAGAGAUGAUCUAGAGAAAUUACCACACAAGUAUAAAGAAAAAUCUUUGAAUGCUAGAAUGAAAUGUGAUCCUAAGUUUGCUACUUCACCUAUAUUUAUUGAUGACAAGGAUUAUGAAUUCUCUGUCGACCCAGAGUUAAUUACUCUGGUUGAAUCUGAUCCUUUCCAUGGUUAUGAAACUGAAACUGUUGUGGCACAUCUUACUAAGUUGAAUGACAUAGCCACCCUUUUUACUCAUGAUGAGAAAACCCGCUAUUACUUUAUUAUCAAAUUAUUUCCUUUCUCAUUAAAGGGUGAUGCUAAAGCUUGGUACAAUACUCUUGCUCCUGGUUGUGUGCAUAGUCCCCAUGAUAUGAUUUAUUACUUCUAUGAAAAAUAUUUUCCUGCUCAUAUGAAACAAGCUGCCUUACAUGAAAUAUUUAACUUUGUGCAAACUAAAGAAGAGAGUCUCCCACAAGCUUGGGGGAGUCUUUGCGAGUUACUUAAUGCUUUGCCUGAUCAUCCUCUUAAUAAAAAUGAAAUACUUGAUAUCUUCUAUAAUGGACUAACCGAUGCUUCUAGGGACUUCCUAGAUAGUUGUGCUGGUUGUUUUUUCAGGGAACGAACUGUUGGACAAGCUGAAGAAUUAUUGAAUAACAUAUUGAAAAAUUAUGAUGAUUGGACUAUUCCCGAACUACCACCUAAACCCACUCCGAAGAAGAGGGGUAUAUUAUAUCUCAGUCCUGAAGAUAUGCAAGAGGCAAAGAAAUCUAUGGAGGAAAAAGGUAUUAAAGUUGAGGAUGUUAAAAAUUUACCUCCUAUUUAAGAAAUACAUGGGCUUAAUACACCACCACUGCCUAAGGUGGUAGAGAUAAAUUCUCUUAUGAAAUUCAAUGAUAAUGAUAAUCCUCACAGUAUGCAUCCUAGUCAAUGCCUUUAUGAGUUUGAAAACUAUAUAAGAAAACACGAUCACUUCAAUGCAAAUGUUAUGAAACAAUUGAAAUAUAAUUCUGAUAUGAUUGCUCGCUUGAGUGAUUUAUUAUUUAAAAUAUCAAAUGAUGUUAGAGGUGUUGGAAAACAUGCUUCUAUGGUUCAAACUCAAUUAGAACAAGUUGCUAAAUCACAAAGAGAAUUGCUUGAUGAAAUGAAUCAUAAUAUGCAUGACUUUGCUGUUAGAGUUGCAACUAGAGGAGGUAAAAUGACUCAGGAGCCACUUUAUCCUGAGGGACACCCUAAAAGAAUUGGACAAGAUUCACAAAGAGCUAACACUAGUGCACCUAGUCCUUCUAGGAAGAAAAAGAAAAAUGAUAGGACUUUGCACACUUCUAGUGAACCCAAAAUAGAAAAACCUCUUGAUAAUGAAGAUGAAGUUUCUAUCUCAGAUGCUGAAACUCAAUCUGGUAAUGAACACUCACCUAGUGAUAAUGAAAAAGAUAAUGCUAAUGUUCAUGAAGACUCUCAACCAAAUAAUAAAGAACUAGAUAAUGAUGUUGAGAUGGAACCACCUGUUGAUCUUGAUAACCCACAAGCUAAAAAUAAAAGAUAUGACAAAAGAGACUUUGUUGCUAGAAAACACGGUAAAGAAAGAGAACCGUGGGUUCAAAAACAUAUGUCUUUUCAACCCAAGUCAACUAAAAAGAAUGAUGAUGAAGAAUUUAAACGCUUUGCUGAAAUGCUGAGGCCAGUCUUUUUGUGUACUCGCUUGACUGAUAUCUUGAAAAUGCCUCCAUAUUCAAAGUAUAUGAAAGACAUCAUCACAAAUAAAAGAAAAAUAUCGGAAGCUGAAAUCUCCACUAUGCUUGCUAAUUACACUUUUAAAGAUGGAGUACCUAAAAAACUUGGAGAUCCGGGAAUACCAACUAUACAUUGCUCUAUCAAAAAGAAUUAUGUGAAAACUGCUUUGUGUGAUUUAGGAGCUGGUGUUAGUGGUAUGCCUUUCUCUUUAUAUAAAAGACUUGACUUGAAUAAACUCACACCUACUGAAAUAUCUUUGAAAAUAGUGAUAAAUCAACUGCCAUACCUAUCGGUAUCUGUGAGGAUGUGCCCGUUGUUGUUGCUAAUGUUACUAUUUUGACUGACUUUGUUAUACUUGAGAUGCCCGAGGACGACAACAUGUCGAUUAUCCUUGGUAGACCCUUCUUGAAUACUGCAGGGGCCAUUAUUGAUUGCAAUAAAAUCAAGGUCACUUUUCAUAUCAAUGGUAAUGAGCAUACAGUGCACUUUCCGAAGAAACAAUUCCAAGUGAAUGGUAUUAAUGUUAUUGAAAAAUCUCCGACAAUCACUAUUGGAAGUUUUCAAAUACCUCUACCUACUGUCAAAAAGAAAUCUGAAAUACUUAUUGUUGGGGAAAUGCAUAUCCCCAUUGAGGUAACUUAGUGAUUUACGAAAGUUCUUCGGUUUCAUGCUAAUUGAAAGUGGUUGUUAAUAAGACUUGAUCAACCUUAUCAAUGGAUCAUUUUUGAACGGUAUGAAGUUGAUGAAUUUAGUAAGCACUACUUUCCGUCCCUACUUUUUGUUCUCUGUUUAUGAAAUGCCAUGUUUUGUCUGUUUUCUGAAUUUCCCGUGCAAUAAAAAAAUGUCCCAAAAAGAAAAGUUCUCGGAAUGCCCUGAAAAUUUUACAUGAUUUUUUUCUGAAUAUUUGAGAAUUUUUGGUGCAAUAAACAUCAGAGGGAGGUGCACCAGGUGGGCACAACCCACCUGGGCGCGCCAGCACCCCCAGGCGUGCCCUGGUGGGUUGUGGUCCCCACGUGGCCCCUCACUUAUCUCUUUAGCCCACAUCAUCACUUACCUCCAGAAAAAAAUCCCCAUUGCUCUCUCUCCCGUGUUCUUGAACUCAAACCCGCGGAUUUCGAUAUCUUUGCUCGAAGCUCCGUUUCCGAAACUGUUUCGGGGGAUUGUUGCUUGGUAUGUGACUCCACCAUUUGUCCAAUUAGUUUUUGUUUUAGUGGCUUAUAUUUUGAAUAAUUAGUUACUCUUGGUGCUGCUGUAGAUGUGCUUGCAUGUUAAAUUCUUAGUGUUCUAAGUAGUUUGAAUGCUUGCUAUGGCUUCUAUCUAUCCCUAUGAGUAGUUGUUACCAAUCUUACAAAGUUUUGUUGACAAAAUUUUGUCACUCCAAAAUUUUUAUUUUUAGAAAAUUGUACGCAGACUUGAAUAUCUUCAGGAAGUUUGUCUCUAAGAAGAACUCCAAGGGGGAUAUUGGGAAGUCUUCUGACAGUGAUCUCCACCCCAAAGGUUGGCGGAGAUACGACUGUGCGAAUGGCCGCACACCCCGUUCCUGCAAGAGGCUGGAAUUCUUGAGGAGUUCAUGCAAUAUAUUGCUAAUGCCGGCCUCACCAACUUCAUUGCAGAUGAGUGUGACCAACACCACAUCUUCACAAACAUCUUUGCUUAGAGCUUUACUUUCUUGCCUAGAAAUAAUCCUCCUGAAGUGAGCUUUGAUUUAUAUGUUGAAAACCAUCAUAUACCACUUACUGAGUUUUGUGACAUAUGCAUGAUCCCGUUUGAUGGGAGCUUGGCUGAGCCUAGGCCGGCUGGGUUUGAGGAUUUUUAUCGCACUUUGACAGUGGGAGAUGAGAGCGGGGUGUCUGCCACCACGACUGCUAGCAUACAUUUUCCUGCCAUACAUUAUUUUGCUUUAUUUGUUGCUAAGUGCUUUCUUGCUAGAAAGAAAGUAGGUGCGCUCAGUGCACCAGACUUUGCUGUUUUACGCCGAGCACUAGAGGGCGACAACACUCAUAGCUUGGGAGCUAUUGUGGCUCGACGCCUCCAUCUUAAGAAAUCCCAGGGUGACAUACAUUGUGGGAUUUUUGCUACUCGUUUGGCGGCUCACUUCGAGGUUAAGAUACACCCUCAUGAUUUCCCUCUGACCAAAGUUUACCUAGACCGUGCAGCCAUGGAUCACCACCAUUUUACCGAUAUUGAAUCUCCUCACAUCCCUAUUUCAUAUAACCUGGUUUUUAGUGUGAGGACUCGUGAUGUUAUUCCAUUGCCUGCUCCUGCUUUGUUUGAUCCUGUUGCUAGGGGCGGAUAUAGGAUCAUGCCCGCGGACAUGAUCGCCUACCAGAAUGCUCAGGCUGCUGAGGAGGCAACAAAGGAGGAGCCUCCACAGUGGGACGAGUGGAUGCCCGCUCCUCAGCACCCCUACUAGCCUCCAGGCAACUGAUCGACUACCAAGUUAGGCCAAAAUCCUAAGCUUGUGGGAGUACGUGUUUCCACCGACUUUACAUUCAUGUUCACUCAUUCCAUUUGCCGGUGCUCACACCUUUUCAUUGUAUCAUCCAUGCUUAGAUUUUUUUUCUUGCUUUCUUCUUAUGUGUUUGAAAAACUUGAGAAAAACCAAAAAAUUAGUUGUAGUUAAUUUACUUUCUAUACAUGCUUAGUAGUAGUACUAAAAAGAAAAUCCAAAAAGAUUUCCUUGUUCUUCUUUUGCUUGUUGGGAGCUUUCCCGUGUAAAUAGUUUUUCUCGUUUUUUGCUUUUCCCUUUUAUUUUGCUUGCUAAAGAAAACAAAAAACUCCAAAAAUAUUUCAGUGUGUUUCUCUGAAUUUCUUUUCUUUUAUUCGAGUUGUACCGAGGAGAAGACCAUGAUGAAAAUGUUGAGUGUUUCACAUAUGAAUAACUGUUGAACUAAUAAAGAGCCCAUUUUACCUUGUCUUCUCCUGUUGAAUAAAAUGUUUUGCAGAUUCCAGCUUAGUCCAUGGCACUGUUGCACUAUUAUUAUUUUCAUAUCAUCCGGUCGUGCAAGUGAAAGGCAAUAAUGACGACAUUCGAUGAACUGGCCAUGGCAAAGAGAAACUGGUAUGAACUCGACUUGUCCUGUCUGUGUAAAUAUGUUUAACCUAGUAUCCAUGCUUGAGCCCAUUAUGAUUAAACAUGUUUGCAAUGACAAUUAGAGAUUAUAGUUUCUCAUGCCAUGCAUAAGUAGCUGGGAGUUGAUAAUGAUUUAUCUUGGAUAUCAACAUAGCGUUAAAAUGAUUGUGAUGUAGUAUGAUGAUAUGGUAUGUUCCUCUGAAUGUUCAAGUGGAUUGACUUGGUACAUGUUCAUGCAUGUAGUUGAAUCAAAACCAACAUAGCCUCUAUAAUGUUUAUAUUCAUGGUGUCAUAUCCUACUCAUGCUAGUGUCUAAUGUUACUUACGCAUAAUGCAUGGUUAUGAUCGUUGUUGCUCUCUAGCUGGCCGCUUCUCAAUCUAAAUUGCUAGCCUUCGCCUGUACUAAGUGGGGAUUCUGCUUGUAUAUCAAAAACCUUGAACCCAAAGUUAUUCCAGAUGAGUCCACCUGAGGGAGUCCUGGAUUAGGGGGUAUCUGGACAGCCGGAUUAUAUCCUUUGGCCGGACUGUUGGACUAUGGAGAUACAAGUUUGAAGACUUCGUCCCGUGUUCGGAUGGGACUCUCCUUGGCCUGGAAGGCAAGCUUGGCAAUACGGAUAUGUAGAUCUCCUUCCUUGUAACCGACUCUGUGUAACCCUAGCCCCCUCCGGUGUCUAUAUAAACCGGAGAGUUUUAGUCCGUAGGACAACAUACAAUCAUACCAUAGGCUAGCUUCUAGGGUUUAGCCUCUUUGAUCUCGUGGUAGAUCAACUCUUGUACAAGAAUAAUCAAGCAAGACCUAGGGUUUUACCUCCAUCAAGAGGGCCCGAGCCUGGGUAAAACAUCGUGUCCCCUGCCUCCUAUUACCAUCUGCCUUAGACACAUAGUUUGGGACCCCCUACCCGAGAUCCGCCGGUUUUGACACCGACAUUGGUGCUUUCAUUGAGAGUUCCACUUGCCGUCGCCAUAAGGAAGGAUGCCUCGUCUUGUUUUUAAAAACAACAUUACCGCCGGGGGAGCCCUGGCUGUCGGCCAAACUCUCCGGCUAGGCAGUUUCAUCAUAACCGCCCGUUCGGCCGCUGCACCGACGAUGACUUCUCGGGUCAUCAAAAACAGCCUCCACCUCGGCUUGGAAUUUGUCGAGCAGAUGGAUCCAAUGGAGCUCUCUUCCCUAAAUGACCUCUUGGAUCGUAUCGCUGCCCUGGGGGUUGCUAUAGACUAUGACGGAUUGGGCUUAAACCCGAUCAAAGGGAGAUUAACUCUCCACCGGUCACCCAUCUUAUUGCGGUGGUGGAGGAACAAUGUGGCGAUUCUUCCUCUAUCUUGAGGACUAACUAUGUCCGGAUUCCUGAACUCUCCGAGCCGGAUACCCGUUUACGGGAGAACAUCACCCAAGCCCUGAACCUAGAGUCAGGUAGCGGGCCAGACUUAUCGGGCAACAUCCCGGAAUCUGAACUUCCAAGAUCGGAAACUCCUCGGCCCCUGGUUCUCAGAUCGGGUAGGGGUUCGGACUCAAAUCCACCCACCCACCCAGACAUAAACGAUCUUUCCCACAUCAGGCAAGAGCCCCAUGAAACAGUACAUCAUUAUUGGGCCAGAUUCCUCCUUGUGAUGAACAAGGUUAAGGACUGUCGCGAGGAAGACGCAGUCUCAUUUUUCUACAAUAAUUGCACGGACAAGGGAAUCCUCAACGCCUUAAGUCACCGUGACAUAUCACGCUUCGCUGACUUGGCGUCCAUAGUACAAAAGUACUGUGCGAUGGAAUAUACACCCAGUCCGAAGUAAAGGGGUGCACUAUCAUAAGACACCCGAGUUAGUUACAAAGAAACAAAAACCCUUUACAGGGCAUGGAACCGUAUUGGAGGGAUGGCUCAACGGCCCCUGCAAAAUUCAUAGUACAUCGGAUACCACACCAACACACAACCUUAGAGCAUGUUGGGUACUCCGGCAGGUGGCCAAAAGUGGUGAGGAUCUUCUCAUCCCAAAUACCACAGAGCAUCAUCCCGUGGAUAACAAUAUGGUAUUAUCAGUCUUCGAAACCUUCACAUCAAAUAAUAGGCGCAAGCGAACACUCCGCAGCCUCGCCGAAAUCUUCCACGUGGCAGCAAUGAAUCCAUGGAGUGACACGACUAUUAACUUCAAUGCCAGUGAUGAACCUAAAUUCCGAACAGCCCGAGCACCAGCUGCACUGGUCCUCAGUCCAAUUGUGGACGGCUUUCGACUCACCAAAGUACUCAUGGACGGCAGCAGUGGAUUGAACCUCAUUUAUGAGGAAACUCUUCAAAAAAUGGAAAUAGACUGGAACCGCAUUGAGCAAAGCAGCACAACCUUCAGAAGAAUCAUCCCCAGUCGGGAAGCACACUAUGCCGGGAAAUUCACACUAGAUGUGGUAUUCGGCACGUCGGAGAACUAUAGGUCCGAAGAAAUCACAUUCCAAGUGGCCCCGUUCAGUAGUGGAUGAAGGAAAUAUGCCCUAGAGGCAAUAAUAAAGUUAUUAUUUAUUUCCUUAUAUCAUGAUAAAUGUUUAUUAUUCAUGCUAGAAUUGUAUUAACCGGAAACAUAAUACAUGUGUGAAUACAUAGACAAACAGAGUGUCACUAGUAUGCCUCUACUUGACUAGCUCGUUAAUCGAAGAUGGUUAUGUUUCCUAACCAUAAACAAAAGAGUUGUUAUUUGAUUAACGGGAUCACAUCAUUAGGUGAAUGAUUUGAUUGACAUGACCCAUUCCAUUAGCUUAGCACCCGAUCGUUUAGUAUGUUGCUAUUGCUUUCUUCAUGACUUAUACAUGUUCCUAUGACUAUGAGAUUAUGCAACUCCCAUUUGCCGGAGGAACACUUUGUGUGCUACCAAACGUCACAACAUAACUGGGUGAUUAUAAAGGUGCUCUACAGGUGUCUCCAAAGGUACAUGUUGGGUUGGCGUAUUUCGAGAUUAGGAUUUGUCACUCCGAUUGUCGGAGAGGUAUCUCUGGGCCCUCUCGGUAAUGCACAUCACAUAAGCCUUGCAAGCAUUACAACUAAUGAGUUAGUUGUGAGAUGAUGUAUUACGGAACGAGUAAAGAGACUUGCCGGUAAUGAGAUUGAACUAGGUAUUGAGAUACCGACGAUCGAAUCUCGGGCAAGUAACAUACCGAUGACAAAGGGAACAACGUAUGUUGUUAUGCGGUCUGACCGAUAAAGAUCUUCAUAGAAUAUGUAGGAGCCAAUAUGGGCAUCUAGGUCCCGCUAUUGGUUAUUGACCGGAGACGUGUCUCGGUCAUGUCUACAUUGUUCUCGAACCAUAGGGUCCGCACGCUUAAGGUUUUGAUGACAGUUAUAUAAUGAGUUUAUGAGUUUUGAUGUACCGAAGGAGUUCGGAGUCUCGGAUGGGAUCGGGGACAUGACGAGGAGUCUCGAAAUGGUCAAGACAUAAAGAUUGAUAUAUUGGACGACUAUAUUCGGACAUCGGAAAGGUUCCGAGUGAUUCGGGUAUUUUUUGGAGUACCGGAUAGUUACGGGAAUUCGCCGGGGAGUAUAUGGGCCUUAUUGGGCCAUACGGGAAUAGAGGAGAGAGGCCAAAAGGAAGGAGGCCUGCGCCCCCCCUCUGGUCCGAAUUGGACAAGGGGCGCAGCCCCCUUUUCCUUCUUCCUCUCCCCCUCUUUCCCCUUCUCCUACUCCAACAAGGAAGGAGGGAGUCCUACUCCCGGUGGGAGUAGGACUCCCCUUGGCGCGCCCCCUCCUAGGCCGGCCGCCCCCCCUUGCUACUUUAUAUACGGGGGUAGGGGGGCACCCCAUGACACACACAAGUUGAUCUUCGUGAUCAUUCCUUAGCCGUGUGUGGUGGCCCCCUCCACCAUAUUCCACCUCGAUCAUAUUGUAGCGGUGCUUAGGCGAAGCCCUACGACGGUUGAACAUCAAGAUCGUCACCACGCCGUCGUGCUGACGGAACUCCUCCCCGAAGCUUUGUUGGAUCGGAGCCCGGGGAGCGUCAUCGAGCUGAACGUGUGCCAAGAACUCGGAGGUGCCGGAGUAACGGUGCUUGGAUCGGUUGGACCGGGAAGACGUACGACUACUUCCUCUAUGUCGCGUCAACGCUUCCGCUUCAGUCUAGAGGGUACGUAGACAACACUCUCCCCUCUCGUUGCUAUGCAUCACCAUGAUCUUGUGUGUGCGUAGGAAAAUUUUGAAAUUACUACGUUCCCCAACAGUGGCAUCCGAGCCUAGGUUUUAUGUGUUGAUGUUAUAUGCACGAGUAGAACACAAGUGAGUUGUGGGCGAUAUAAGUCAUACUGCUUACCAGCAUGUCAUACUUUGGUUCGGCAGUAUUGUUGGACGAAGCGGCACGGACCGACAUUACGUGUACGCUUACGCGAGACCGGUUCUCCCGACGUGAUUUGCACAAAGGUGGCUAGCGGGUGAUAGUUUCUCCAACUUUAGUUGAACCGAGUGUGGCUACGCCCGGUCCUUGCGAAGGUUAAAACAGCACCAACUUGACAAACUAUCGUUGUGGUUUUGAUGCGUAGGUAAGAUUGGUUCUUGCUUAAGCCCGUAGCAGCCACGUAAAACUUGCAACAACAAAGUAGAGGACGUCUAACUUGUUUUUGCAGGGCAUGUUGUGAUGUGAUAUGGUCAAGACAUGAUGCUAAAUUUUAUUGUAUGAGAUGAUCAUGUUUUGUAACCGAGUUAUCGGCAACUGGCAGGAGCCAUAUGGUUGUCGCUUUAUUGUAUGCAAUGCAAUCGCGCUGUAAUGCUUUACUUUAUCACUAAGCAGUAGCGAUAGUCGUGGAAGCAUAAGAUUGGCGAGAUGACAACGAUACUACGAUGGAGAUCAAGGUGUCGCGCCGGUGACGAUGGUGAUCAUGACGGUGCUUCGAAGAUGGAGAUCACAAGCACAAGAUGAUGGUGGCCAUAUCAUAUCACUUAUAUUGAUUGCAUGUGAUGUUUAUCUUUUAUGCAUCUUAUCUUGCUUUGAUUGAUGGUAGCAUUAUAAGAUGAUCUCUCACUAAUUAUCAAGAAGUGUUCUCCCUGAGUAUGCACCGUUGCGAAAGUUCUUCGUGCUGAGACACCACGUGAUGAUCGGGUGUGAUAGGCUCUACGUUCAAAUACAACGGGUGCAAAAUAGUUGCACACGCAGAAUACUCAGGUUAUAGUUGACGAGCCAAGCAUAUACCGAUAUGGCCUCGGAACACGGAGACCAAAAGGUCGAGCGUGAAUCAUAUAGCAGAUAUGAUCAACAUAGCGAUGUUCACCAAUGAAACUACUCCAUCUCACGUGAUGAUCGGACAUGGUUUAGUUGAUUUGGAUCAUGUAAUCACUUAGAGGAUUAGAGGGAUGUCUAUCUAAGUGGGAGUUCUUAAGUAAUAUGAUUAAUUGAACUUAAAUUUAUCAUGAAAUUAGUCCUGGUAGUAUUUUGCAAAUUAUGUUGUAGAUCAAUAGCUUGCGUUGUUGCUUCCCUGUGUUUAUUUUGAUAUGUUCCUAGAGAAAAUUGUGUUGAAAGAUGUUAGUAUCAAUGAUGCAGAUUGGAUCCGUGAUCUGAGGUUUAUCCUCAUUGCUGCACAGAAGAAUUAUGUCCUUGAUGCACCGCUAGGUGACGGACCUAUUGCAGGAGCAGAUGCAGACGUUAUGAAUGUUUGGCUAGCUCAAUAUGAUGACUACUUGAUAGUUUAGUGCACCAUGCUUAAUGGCUUAUAAUCGGGACUUCAAAGACGUUUUGAACGUCAUGGAGCAUAUGAGAUGUUCCAGGAGUUGAAGUUAAUAUUUCAAGCAAAUACCCGAGUUGAGAGAUAUGAAGUCUCCAACAAGUUCUAUAGCUAAAAGAUGGAGGAGAAUCGCUCAACUAGUGAGCAUGUGCUCAGAUUGUCUGAGUACUACAAUUGCUUGAAUCAAGUGGGAGUUAAUCUUCCAGAUAAGAUAGUGAUUGACAGAAUUCUCUAGUCACCAUCACCAAGAUAGUAGAACUUCGUGAUGAACUAUGAUAUGCAAGGGAUAACGGAAACGAUUCCCAAGCUCUUCGUAAUGCGGAAAUUGACGAAGGUAGAAAUCGAGAAAAACAUCAAGUGUUGAUGGUAGACAAGACCACUAGUUUCAAGAAAAGGGCAGAGGGAAGAAGGGGAACUUCAAGAAGAACAUCAAGCAAGUUUUUGCUCAAGUGAAGAAGCCCAAGUCUGGUCCUAAGCCUGAGACUAAGUGUUUCUACUGCAAAGGGACUGGUCACUGGAAGCGGAACUACCCCAAGUGAUUGGCAGAUAAAGAAGGAUGGCAAAGUGAACAUAAGUAUAUUUGAUAUACAUGUUAUUGAUGUGUACUUUACUAGUGUUUAUAGCAACCCCUCAGUAUUUGAUACUAGUUCAGUUGCUAAGAUUAGUAACUCGAAACGGGAGUUGGAGAAUAAACAGAGACUAGUUAAGGGUGAAGUGACGAUGUGUGUUGGAAGUGGUUCCAAGAUUGAUAUGAUCAUCAUCGCACACUCCCUAUACGUUCGGGAUUAGUGUUGAACCUGAAUAAGUGUUAUUUGGUGUUUGCGUUGAGCAUGAAUAUGAUUCGAUCAUGUUUAUUGUAAUACAGUUAUUCAUUUAAGUAAGACAAUAAAUUGUUGUUCUGUUUACAUGAAUAAAACCUUAUAUGGUUACACACCCAAUGAAAAUAGUUCGUUGGAUCUCGAUCGUAGUGAUACACAUAAUCAUAAUAUUGAAACCAAAAGAUGCAAAGUUAAUAAUGAUAGUGCAACUUAUUUGUGGCACUGCCGUUUAGGUCAUAUUGGUAUAAAGCGCAUGAAGAAACUCCAUGCUGAUGGGUUUUUGGAAUCACUUGAUUAUGAAUCAGUUGAUGCUUGCGAACCAUGCCUCAUGGGCAAGAUGACUAAAACGCUGUUCUCCGGAACUAUGGAGCGAGCAACUAACUUAAUGGAAAUAAUACAUACUGAUGUAUGAGAUCUGAUGAGUGUUAAGGCUCGUGGCGGGUAUCAUUAUUUUCUAACCUCCAUAGAUGAUUUGAGCAGAUAUGGGUAUAUCUACUUAAUGAAACACAAGUCUGAAAUAUUUGAGAAGUUCAAAGAAUUUCAGAGUAAAGUGGAGAAUCAUCGUAACAAGAAAAUAAAAGUUUCUACGAUCUGAUCGCGGAGACAAAUAUUUGAGUUACGAGUUUGGUCUUCAAUUAAAACAAUGUGGAAUAGUUUCACAAACUCAUGCCACCUGGAACACCACAACAUAAUGGUGUGUCCAAACGUCAUAACCGUACUUUAUUGGAUAUAGUGCAAUCUAUGAUGUUUCUUACCAAUUUACCACUAUCAUUUUGGGGUUAUGCAUUAGAGACAGCUGCAUUCACGUUAAAAUGGCACCAUCUAAAUCUGUUGAGACGACACCGUAUGAACUAUGGUUUGGCAAGAAACCAAAGUUGUCAUUUCUUAAAGUUUGGGGUUGCGAUGCUUAUAUGAAAAAGUUUCAUCCUGAUAAGCUCAAACUCAAAUCGGAGAAGUGCGUCUUCAUAGGAUACCCAAAAGAAAAUGUUGGGUACACCUUCUAUCACAGAUCCAAAGGCAAGCCGUUGCUGAGAAUGGAUCCUUUCCAGAGAAGGAGUUUCUCUCGAAAGAAGUGAGUGGGAGGAAAGUAGAACUUGAUGAGGUAACUGUACCUACUCCCUUAUUGGAAAGUAGUCCAUCACAGAAAUCUGUUCCUGUGACUACUAGACCGAUUAGUGAGGAAGCUAACUUCAGAUCAAGUUACUAUCGAACCUCGUAGGUAAACCAGAGUGAGAUCCGCACCAGAGUGGUACGGUAAUCCAGUUCUGGAGGUCAUGUUACUUGACCAUGACGAGCCUACGAACUAUGAGGAAGCGAUGAUGAGCCCAGAUUCCGCGAAAUGGCUUGAGGCCAUGAACUCUGAGAUAUGAUCCAUGUAUGAGAACAAAGUAUGGACUUUGAUGGAUUUGCCCGAUGAUUGGCAAGCCAUAGAAAAUAAAUGGAUCUUCAAGAGGAAGACGGACACUGGUAGUAGUGUUACUAUCUACAAAGCUCAACUUGUCGCAAAAGGUUUUCGGCAAGUUCAAGGGAUUGACUAUGAUGAGACCUUCUCACCCGUAGCGAUGCUUAAGUCUAUCCAAAUCAUGUUAGCAAUUGCCGCAUUUUAUGAAAUCCAGCAAAUGGAUGUCAAAACUGCAUUCCUGAAUGGAUUUCUGGAAGAAGAGUUGUAUAUGAUGCAGCCGGAAGGUUUUGUCGAUCCAAAAGGAGCUAACAAAGUGUGCAAGCUCUAGCGAUCCAUUUAUGGACUGGUGCAAGCCUCUCGGAGUUGGAAUAAACGCUUUGAUAGUAUUAUCAAAGCAUAUAGUUUUAUACAGACUUGCGGUGAAGCCUGUAUUUACAAGAAAGUGAGUGGGAGCACUACAACAUUUCUGAUAAGUAUAUGUGAAUGACAUAUUGUUGAUCGGAAAUAAUGUAGAAUUAUUUUGCAAAGCAUAAAGGAGUGUUUUUAAAGAAGUUUUUCAAAGAAAGACCUCGGUGAAGCUGCUUACAUAUUAAGCAUCAAAAUCUAUAGAGAUAGAUCAAGACGCUUGAUAAGUUUUUUCAAUGAGUACAUACCUUGACAAUAUUUUGAAGUAGUUCAAAAAUGGAACAGUCAAAGAAAGAGUUCUUUGCUGUGUUACAAGGUAUGAAAUUGAGUAAGACUCAAAGCCCGACCACGGCAGAAGAUAGAAAGAGAAUGAAAGUCAUUCCCUAUGCCUCAGCCAUAGGUUCUAUAAAGUAUGCCAUGAUGUGUACCAGAUCUAUUGUAUACCCUACACUGUGUUAAGCAAGGGAGUACAAUAGUGAUCUAAGAGUAGAUCACUGGACAUUGGUCAAAAUUAUCCUUAGUGGAAUAAGGAAAUAUUUCUCGAUUAUGGAGGUGACAAAAGGUUCGUCGUAAAAAGUUACGUCGAUGCAAGUUUUGACAUAGAUCUGGAUGACUCUAAGUCUCGAUCUAGAUACAUAAUGAAAGUGGGAGCAAUUAGCUAGAGUAGCUCCGCGCAGAGCAUUGUAGACAUAGAAUUCACAAAAUACUUACGGAUCUGUGUGUGACAGACCCGUUGACUAAAAUUAUCUCACAAGCAAAACAUGAUCACACCUUAGUACUCUUUGGGUGUUAAUCACAUAAAUGAUGUGAACUAGAUUAUUGACUCUAGUAAACCCUUUGGGUAUAGGUCACAUGACGAUGUGAACUAUGGGUGUUAAUCACAUGGUGAUGUGAACUCUUAGUGUUGAAUCACAUGGCGAUGUGAACUAGAUUAUUGACUCUAGUGCAAGUGGGAGACUGAAGGAAAUAUGUCCUAGAGGCAAUAAUAAAGUUAUUAUUUAUUUCCUUAUAUCAUGAUAAAUGUUUAUUAUUCAUGCUAGAAUUGUAUUAACCGGAAACAUAAUACAUGUGUGAAUACAUAGACAAACAGAGUGUCACUAGUAUGCCUCUACUUGACUAGCUCAUUAAUCGAAGAUGGUUAUGUUUCCUAACCAUAAACAAAAGAGUUGUUAUUUUAUUAACGGGAUCACAUCAUUAGGUGAAUGAUCUGAUUGACAUGACCCAUUCCAUUAGCUUAGCACCCGAUCGUUUAGUAUGUUGCUAUUGCUUUCUUCAUGACUUAUACAUGUUCCUAUGACUAUGAGAUUAUGCAACUCCCGUUUGCCGGAGGAACACUUUGUGUGCUACCAAACAUCACAACGUAACUGGGUGAUUAUAAAGGUGCUCUAAAGGUGUCUCCAAAGGUACAUGUUGGGUUGGCGUAUUUCGAGAUUAGGAUUUGUCACUCCGAUUGUCGGAGAGGUAUCUCUGGGCCCUCUCGGUAAUGCACAUCACAUAAGCCUUGCAAGCAUUGCAACUAAUGAGUUAGUUGUGAGAUGAUGUAUUACGAAACGAGUAAAGAGACUUGCCGGUAACGAGAUUGAACUAGGUAUUGAGAUACCGACGAUCGAAUCUCGGGCAAGUAACAUACCGAUGACAAAGGGAACAACGUAUGUUGUUAUGCGGUCUGACCGAUAAAGAUCUUCGUAGAAUAUGUAGGAGCCAAUAUGGGCAUCCAGGUCCCGCUAUUGGUUAUUGACCGGAGACGUGUCUCGGUCAUGUCUACAUUGUUCUCGAACCGUAGGGUUCGCACGCUUAAGGUUUCGAUGACAGUUAUAUAAUGAGUUUAUGAGUUUUGAUGUACCGAAGGAGUUCGGAGUCCCGGAUGGGAUCGGGGACAUGACGAGGAGUCUCGAAAUGGUCGAGACGUAAAGAUCGAUAUAUUGGACGACUAUAUUCGGACAUCGGAAAGGUUCCGAGUGAUUUGGGUAUUUUUCGGAGUACCGGAGAGUUACGGAAAUUCGCCGGGGAGUAUAUGGGCCUUAUUGGGCCAUACGGGAAUAGAGGAGAGAGGCCAAAAGGAAGGAGGCCUGCGCCCCCCCUCUGGUCCAAAUUGGACAAGGGGCGCAGCCCCCUUUUCCUUCUUCCUCUCCCCCUCUUUCCCCUUCUCCUACUCCAACAAGGAAGGAGGGAGUCCUAUUCCCGGUGGGAGUAGGGCUCCCCUUGGCGCGCCCCCUCCUAGGCCGGCCGCCCCCCCCCUUGCUCCUUUAUAUACGGGGGUAGGGGGCACCCCAUGACACACACAAGUUGAUCUUCGUGAUUGUUUCUUAGCCGUGUGCGGUGCCCCCCUCCACCAUAUUCCACCUCGGUCAUAUUGUAGCGGUGCUUAGGCGAAGCUCUGCGACGGUUGAACAUCAAGAUCGUCACCACGCCGUCGUGCUGACGGAACUCCUCCCCGAAGCUUUGCUGGAUCGGAGCCCGGGGAGCGUCAUUGAGCUGAACGUGUGCCAAGAACUCGGAGGUGCCGGAGUAACAGUGCUUGGAUCGGUUGGACCGGGAAGACGUACGACUACUUCCUCUACGUUGUGUCAAUGCUUCCACUUCGGUCUACGAGAGUACAUAGACGACACUCUCCCCUCUCGUUGCUAUGCAUCACCAUGAUCUUGUGUGUGCGUAGGAAAAUUUUGAAAUUACUACAUUCCCCUACAGUGGAUACCACGCCCUUUUAGGACGGGAGGCGUUCACAAUCUUCCAAGCCAUACCCCAUUAUGGGUACAUGAAACUCAAAAUGCCCGGGCCCAACGAAAUCAUCAUUCUCGCCAGUGAUCGGGACACAGCACUCCGCGCCGAAAACAAAACAGCCGCAUUGGCCCUCGAGGCAUUGUCCGAAGCCCUUUUGGCCGAGGAGUUAACUGCGCUACGCUCCACAGUGGACAGGGACGACGUGAUACUUGACAAGAGAUCCAAGUCCACCUCUUUUAAACCAGCAGAUGAAAUAGUCAAAUUCCAAGUCCACCCAACGGACCCUACAAAAACAGCCUCCAUCGGGGCACAGCUAAACCCCACCGUGGACGCCGCACUACGAGAGUUCCUGCGCGAGAGUUGGGUCAUAUUCGCCUGGCACCCCUCAGACAUGCCAGGAAUCCCAUGCAGGCUGGCCGAGCACAACCUCAAUAUUCUAAAGGGAUUCAAACCGGUCAAGCAGACUCUUCGGCGUUUCUCGGAACCUAAGAGACAAGCUAUGGGAGAAGAACUAGCCAAGUUAUUAGAGGCCGGAUUCAUUAGAGAAAUAAAACACCCGGACUGGCUAGCAAACCUGGUGAUGGUACCAAAGAAGGACAAAUCCUGGUGCCUGUGUGUCGAUUUUAAGGACCUCAACAAGGCCUGCCCAAAGGAUCCCUUCCCCCUCCCCCGCAUUGAUCAAAUUAUCGAUGCUACCGCAGGACACGAGUCAUUGUGUUUCCUCGACGCAUACUCCGGCUACCACCAAAUCAAGAUGGCGGAGUCUGACCAAGCCGCAACGACAUUUAUCACAGCAUAUGGCCCCUUCUGUUUCAACACAAUGCCUUUCGGGCUCAAAAACGCCGGCGCAACAUAUCAGCGCAUGAUUCAGACAUGUCUAAAGAAACAGAUCGGCAAAAUAGUAGAGGCAUACGCAGAUGAUGUGGUCAUCAAAACCAAGCACGUCGACUCUCUAAUAGACGACUUGAGGCUCACAUUCAACAACCUUCGAAAAUACGACAUCAAGCUCAAUCCGGAAAAAUGCGUUUUUGGCGUACCGGCCGGAAAGCUCCUAGGCUUCAUUGUCUCCAGUAGAGGAAUUGAAGCUAAUCCGGCCAAAACCCGAGCUCUGUCACAGUUGGCUACCCCAACAGACCUCAAACAAAUCUAGAAAUUAACUGGAUAUGUGGCGGCUCUAGGCCGCUUUAUCUCCCGCUUAGGAGAAAAGGCAUUACCCCUUUAUCGCCUCCUUCGGCGCACCGAACACUUUAAGUGGACGAACGCUGCCACAGCCGGAUUGGAAGAAAUAAAAGCCAUACUGGCAACCAACCCAAUCCUGGCCGCGCCAAACAUCGGCGAACCAAUGCUAUUGUACAUUGCGACAACUCGUCAGGUUGUAAGCGCAGUGCUCGUCGUCGAACGAGAAGCAGACGGACAUAAAUUCCCCCUUCAAAAGUCGGUAUAUUAUGUAUCCACUGUCCUCACUCCAUGCAAGUCACGGUACCCACAAAAGAUAGCCUAUGCGGUAUUCAUGGCAUCCCGGAAGCUGCGACACUACUUUCAAGAGUGUUCGAUUACAGUAGCCUCGGAAGUGCCACUUAAUGAUAUUAUAAACAACCGCGACGCCACGGGACAGAUUGCCAAAUGGGCCAUUGAGCUCCUCCCAUUCGACAUAACAUACAAACCCCGACGAGCCAUUAAAUCGCAAGUAUUGGCCGAAUUUAUCGCCGAAUGGACAGAAGUCGAACUACCUAAAGAGUACGGCGCAUACUCCAAUUGGAUCAUGCACUUCGACGGCUCCAAAAUGCUGGCUGGUCUGGGGGCUGGCGUCGUCGUGACGUCCCCAACUAGAGAUACAAUCCAAUACGUACUGCAGAUACUGUAUAUAGACUCCAACAACGCAGCCGAAUACGAAGCCCUGUUACAUGGUCUUUAGAUGGCAGUUUCCAUGGGCAUUCAACGCCUGGAGGUGUGUAGGGAUUCGAACCUCGCAAUAUCCCAAAUAAAUGGAGACUUCGAUGCCAAGGAUCCGAAGAUGGCGGCCUAUCGAAACGCCGUCCUAAAGAUGUCAGCUCGGUUCAAGGGGCUCGAAUUUCACCAUGUGGCUCGGGAAAAUAAUCAGGCGGCGGAUAUCCUCGCCCGCAUCGGCGCAAAACGUGAUGCGAUCCCCCCCAACAUCUUUUUGGAGAGGUUGUUUAAGCCAUCCGUGGUAUGGGAAGGGGACACCGGUAACAAUAGUCCGGACCCGGCCAAAAUACCCGAUACCGAACACUCUGACAUAAUCGGAGGCUCUGCCACCGAAAUAACACCUUCAGCCCACGUAAUAAUGGCCAUCAUCACCCCGUGGACAGAACCAUUCAUGGCCUACCUAACUAGGCAGGAAAUUCCCGAGGACCAAAAUGAGGCACACUGCAUAGUGCGGCGAUCUAAAGCCUACAGGGUCCACGAGGGAGAGCUGUAUAAAAAAAGUACUACCGGAAUCCUUCAAAGGUGCAUCUCCGGAGAGAAAGGGCGGAAGCUUUUGGUAGAAAUUCACGCCGGACUCGGCGGCCACCAAGCCGCAGCCCGGGCCCUUGUAAGCAAGGCCUUCCAUACAGGUUUUUAUUGGCCGACGGCCCGGGCAGACGCACAGGACUUGGUCCAACGCUGCGUCGGUUGCCAGCUUUUUGCAAACCAAAGCCACAUGCCGCCCACCGCCCUCCAAAUAAUUCCCAUUACUUGGCCCUUCGCGGUUUGGGGGCUUGACAUGGUUGGACCCCUUAAAGGGGGAACCCACAAGAAAAAAAUACUUACUAGUCAUGGUGGAUAAAUUCACCAAAUGGAUAGAAGCCAAACCUGUUAAAACGGCCAAAUCCGGACCGGUGAUAGACUUCAUAUCCGGGGUUGUACACCGUUAUGGCGUCCCCCAUAGCAUCAUCACUGAUAACGGCACGAACUUCACGGCCGACGAGGUAAAACUCUGGUGCAGCAACAUGGGCAUCAAGCUCGAUUAUGCUUCAGUCUAUCACCCACAAACCAAUGGCCAAGUUGAGCGAGCAAAUAGUCUUAUCAUGAGCGGCAUUAAACCCAGACUAGUGCGGUCCUUAAAGGAGUCUAACGCGCACUGGGUAGAGGAGCUCGACUUCGUACUCUGGGGGCUGCGGACCAUGCCGAAUCGUACUACCGGAUACACACCCUUCUUUAUGGUUUACGACACAGAGGCGGUUCUGCCCUGCGACAUAAUUCAUGACUCACCUCGAGUGCGCAUGUAUGAAGAAAGAGAAGCCGAGCUCGAUCGGCAGGAUAGUCUGGACACCCUGGAGGAGGAGCGCGACGUGGCAAAAGCCUGUUCCGCAUUCUAUCAGCAACAUGCUCGCAGAUACCAAAGCAGAGAAGUACGGGCCAAAACUUAUAAUGUUGGCGAGUUAGUUCUACGCCUGCCAGAGAAGAAAAAAACCAAGCUCGAGCCCAAAUGGGAAGGUCCCUUCAUUAUUGACCCAGUUCUGACCGGUGGAGCGUACCGUCUGCGGGAUGCAUCAAAUAAUCGACUUGAGCCGAACCCAUGGAACACAGCCAGACUCCGAAGAUUCUACGCCUAGCGCCGGACUCUACGUUCGUCUCUUUCCUCUGUCCAUUUUUUGCAUGUACAUUAUCUAUCUUUUUUCUCUUUCUUCCUUUUAUUCUUUCUCAAGGCCUUCAAGGGCCAACUUGUGCCUCGCUUGCACACUAUAGACGCGCUAACCGCGCUCAUUAUACCUGGGGGCUUCUUACACAGAAGCUUAAUUAUUUAUCUGGGCUUCAUACCCCGCACAUGUGUUAUUCUUCCGCAUGUACCUUUUCUUCGCCAAUAUAUGCAUCGAUAUGACUUAAGUUUUGGCCAAGCUGGGUUGCCUGGCUCUUGUAUUUAUGCCCUACGUUCCCGUUAAUUCAGCUAGGGCAUAAGGGGAGCACCUCUGCGAUUGUUACUGCCGGGUCAGCCGGAUGUGUACCUCAGACUGGGUGAAGCCGAAAGCUAGCGUUCUUAAGGGAAUAUCCGGUCGGUGAACAAAAGUUGAUUUUUAUUUAUUUUCCAUAUGUGCCCCCAGAUGUUUUUGCCUGCGUCUCCUCUUGCAGUCUGGACAUGCACUUUAGGGCAUGCGUACCCAGGGAAAGGAACCCCUAACAGAACUAUUCUCCCUCGAAGAUGUUUCUUACUACCCAUGUAAUACAACAUAACUAGUUGGGUACUUGUCUGUUCAAGCACUAAUGACCCCUACGCCUGGUUUCCACGCAUACCCCGGUUCUUAUAUAACUGAGCGGGUAUUCGGACACAGUCCGGACUAUCGGGUCCUGAGGUUGAAGCGAAAAGGUCCACCAUGACAAAUGAUUUACAAUCCGGCUAGAAGGCAUUAUACAUGUCACUUUAAUUACAUAGUCAUGUAGACUGACUAAAUUCCUCUUCUAUACCAUCCAACAGGCUGUCUAGCCUACAAUCCUGUUGGGAAUACUUUGCGGCUAAUUCUACUUGCCCAUACACUAAGCUAACGGGGAUCUCUUUCCCAUCGGGCCCCACAGGUCCGACCUCGGCCAUGUGGUUUGGGUCAGCCUUGGUAUACCUCGUCUUCACCAUGGCCCAGGCUUCCCUGGCACCUUGACGGCAGGCCGAUAUCUUCCAUAAUCAGAAGCACUGCCGUGCUCCCUUGAGCUUCUCUGCAAGCUCUCCAAUGCCUUCUGGCAGGGAGACGGAUGGCCACAAGGCCUGGGCAAUACCUUGCAUCACCUGCCGAACUUCUUCGUGUAGUCGUGAGAGCUCGGGUAGAAGAUCACCCGCAGACCCGGGCAUCUCCUCCGCAGGACGACCCGUCAGCAUACCUGCAGACAUAAUUCUGUUAGCCAGCUUCUCCACCGCCCCCCUUUUAAGGGUUCAUCCAAGCACUUACUGAAAAUGCCGCGUCGAAGCCGCUUAUUCUCCUUCUCGGAGUCCGCAAGCUGGGCUCGAACAUCCUUCAGUUCCACGCUCAGCUUGGUAUUGGCAUCUUGGAGAUUGUUUUUCUCCCGCCCGACCUCAGUCAACACGCGUUCGCCAGCCUUUAGCUGUCAUACGACAUGCUGGUCCUCCGGAUUCUCUCUGGAUUCAUCUGCAAUAUCUAUUGUUAGAUCGGCAGCCACACCGCACGCUAUAUGGUACCUAUCAUUCUUUGAAAGAAAUGUUACCAGCUGGGGACUUUUUAGGUUCCUUCAAUGCGGCAACGGCGGCCCGAAGCUGGGUCUUGCAUUCCCCCAGCUCCUGUGACAGUCGAGUAUUCUUCUCUGUAAGAACCUGCACAAUAGAUGAUCCUUAAAUCAGUUCUGCUAACUGUUUCAAGUCUCAGGGGCUACUGAUACAUAUAAUCGUCAGAUUUGCUUACCUGUACAUCCCUUACAUACUGGUCUGAGGCUCUGGCUAUACCAUUUUGAGCAGCACGGAGGUACGCGUCUCCAGAAUUGAAGGCAUCAAAUGCCUCUGGUGAGAAGCAAGCGUCACGGAGUACGGCCCGGCGACGCCUAUGAUUCAUGGCGCUCUCCACUUCUGAAUUUGUAGCGGAUAGUCUAUCCGCUUCCUCUGUAGGGGGAGUAUCCGGCGUCCGCCCCAUGUCAGCGUCCACCCCAUGAUCGGCAGCCUCACCGGAUGUAGGGGGAGUAUCCGGCGAGCGUUUUUUCUGUUAAAGAAACAUGGAUGUCAUUACAUUUUGAGAAAGACGACAACCACGGAGCGGGGUUUUUGUCAUACCUCUGCGCCGGCGUCUCUGUCCUGACCGCCUUCCUUUUGGCCUACCCGGCCUCGGUGCCUCUUGUUGGCGAGUUGCUGUGGGUUCGGCACGGUGUCCCGAAUGCCUUCCCUGUAAAACACCAUAUGUAUAUGGUAGGUGAAGUAUCUAAAAGGGGAUCCUAGUUUUUUGAGUUGGGAUUUUGGUUUUUCUUACGAGCGACGCAGGGAGCAGUCCGGGAUAGUCGGCCGUAAUGGCCACCAUGGCGUCAUCACAGCUCAAUUGAUAGAACGGUCGGUCUAUCAGCUCCACGAAUAUGUCCGGGUCUUCUUCGAGUCCGGGACCGAGGGCCUGGUCAGGGUCCUCUGGUUGUGGGGACGGGCUGUUGACCUCCCUUAUGGCUUUUUGCAGUUCCUGCCAUAAAAUGGCAAGGUGAGUACCUACGACAAAGAAUGUGGGAAGAAUGGGAGUAAGGAGAUAUAACUCACCCAGCUUGGAGGGUUGUACAUGGAGAAUCCAUCCCGUGGCUUGAUGCGGAUGAACUCCUCAUCCUCUCCCUUGAACAGCUCGGACAGGAUUUUUGCUAAAGCAGCAGCAUUAUUCGGACCCUUACGCCCGCAACGGGUGGCACCGUCUUCCCCGUUAAAACACCAUAGGGGGUGCCCUCGAUAUUGAAGUGGCUGCACUCCCCGCAUUAUGCAUAUUGACAUAACCUCGAUUACUAUCAAUCCUGAUUGAGCCAGCGCUUUAAUCCGGUUCAUCAGGUAAAGGACUUCUCCGUUGUCUUCCUCCUGGGGGCUCCGUGGGUGCCAGCUUCGGCGUUUCUUCAGAGGAGCAUUGUUGAACUCAGGAAGACCCCGCCAAACAGGGUCCGGAAGGGGGACGUCCUCCAUAUAAAACCAUUCCAAAGGCCAGUCCUCGGACGUCUUCUUCGGAGUACCGGACAGGUAUCCGGUUUCGGCGAUGCGCCAUAUUUCGGCUCCGCCCACUUGAUAAAGUGACCCCUCCUGUGUGCGGGGGACGAGGCAAAAUAACCUUUUCCAGAGCUCGAAAUGAGCCUCGCAGCCCAGGAAUAACUCGCAGAGGGCAACAUAGCCGGCGAUGUGUGAUAUGGAAGCAUGGGUGAAAUUAUGCAGUUGGAGGCCGUAAAACUCCAGGAGCCCGCGGAGGAACGAAUGAAUUAGAAAUCCGAGUCCCCUUAAUAAGUAAGGAACAAGGCAUACCCACUCCCCUGUAGAGGGGCUGGGGAAGCUCUCCGCUUGCUCCCCGCCAUUGUAGGUGGCGAGCCCGGCUCGGACGGGAACCAUAUACGCUGGAGGGAGAAAUCCUUUAGUCUAUAGUUUGACUAAUCGACUGUGUGGGACAGAACACCUCUCCCAAUCACCGGGCUUAGGGCUACGGGGGCGGGAGGAGGAGCUGCGGAGGUCGGCCAUGAUGGAGUGGAUUUUUCUGAAGUGCGCUCCGAUGGAUUCUUGCCGGGGGAGGAUGAUGUGGAUUGGAUCUAAGAAUCCCCAUCCCUUUAAUAGACAAUUUAUUUAUCUGGCUAGGGGGCGAAUGUAAAAACGCCCUGGCUCCUCAUAUUCAUUCAACGCGUGGGAGAUAGCCCUUAUUGGGCGCAAAAGCCAAGAGGUCCAACAUUUAUGGGGCCGGACACUGCUUAACAAACAUUCAAAAUUUGGAGAGGAACCCGCCCUGCAAUGCCGAAGACAAUACUGCGUGUCGGACUUGACGUCAUUGAAGCCUGGUUCGGGGGCUACUGAGGGAGUCCUGGAUUAGGGGGUAUCCGGAUAGCGGGAUUAUAUCCUUUGGCCGGACUGUUGGACUAUGGAGAUACAAGAUUGAAGACUUCGUCCCGUGUCCGGAUGGGACUCUCCUUGGCGUGGAAGGCAAGCUUGGCAAUACGGAUAUGUAGAUUUCCUUCCUUGUAACCGACUCUGUGUAACCCUAGCCACCUCCGGUGUCUAUAUAAACCGGAGGGUUUUAGUCCGUAGGACAACAUACAAUCAUACCAUAGGCUAGCUUCUAGGGUUUAGCCUCUUUGAUCUCGUGGUAGAUCAACUCUUGUACUACUCAUAUUAUCAAGAAUAAUCAAGCAGGACGUAAAGAAUAAUCAAGCAGGACGUAGGGUUUUACCUCCAUCAAGAGGGCCCGAACCUGGGUAAAACAUCGUGUCCCCUGCCUCAUGUUACCAUCCGCCUUAGACGCACAGUUCAGGACCCCCUACCCGAGAUCCGCCGGUUUUGACACCGACACCACCAUAUCUACCUAUAUGCGGUAUUACCCUGCCGUUCUAAGUAAUUUGCAUGUGCCACCUCUAAAAACUUCUAAAAAUUACCCGUUUUGUGUGCCUGGAUCGUUCAUGGAAUGAUAGGAGGUGGUCGGUAUCUUCCAUGCUAAGCGGGUUAUUCUUAGGUCGAGUGUUUAUUCACUCGCCAGCGCAUGAUAAAAUGGGCGGUAAUAGGGAUUCCCAGUCCUGAACUCAAAAAUGCAAAUAAUUAAACAAAACUCCCCCGGGAUUGAUGUUGGUAUGGACGGCACCCGUUGUUUCGGACAAGCUGUGGAGUGUGAUUGAUGGUGGAGGGGGAGUAAACCUAUACUUUUAUCGCUUGGGAACCGCCACUAGCAUGCUUAGCAUGGAAGAUGUUGAUAACUGAUGGUCGUGAAGUAAAUGAGAAGGGUGCAUGUCUCAAAAUUUCAUUUAUCUCUGUUUUAAAAAUUGAGCUCUGGCACCUCUGUAAAUCACUGCUUCCCUCUGCGAAGGGACUAUCUAUUUACUCUUAAGUUGUGUCAUCACCCUCUAAAACAAGCGCCAGAAACUAAGUAGAGCACAUCGGUCAUGAUUUAUGCAUUCUGUGUAGCUAAUGUUGGGUGCAUGAUGACUGGAUCUUUUCAACCAUGAAUUACAAUGUUUAGUCGCUGCUUGAACUUUGGAGGUGCUAUGCAUUUAUGUUUUGCGGUACCAGAAAGGGCUAGCGAGAUACUAUUAUUGUCAUAUUAUAUCAUGGUCGUUUUGACAACAUGUUGCUGCUUGAGAUAUCUUAUUAUUGCUCGCUAGCUAAUUAUGUCAUUGAUAUGCGUCAUUAUUAUCUUUAAGAGUUAUUGUCGACAUGGUUAGUUAUAAUGCUGGCUGAAAACCUGGGUGUUGUUUAAGCUUAUUUAUGCAAACAAGAGAAAAAGAGUUUGUAAAAGUUUUUCUUUCCCACUUUCAGUUUAUCAACUGAAUUGCUUGAGGUCAAGCAAAGGUUUAAGCUUGGGGGAGUUGAUACGUCUCCAACGUAUCUACUUUUUAUCACACUUUUCCUCUUGUUUUGGACUCUAAUUUGCAUGAUUUGAAUGAAACUAACCCCAGACUGACGUUGUCUUCAGGAGAACUACCAUGGUGUUGUUUUGUGCAGAAAUAAAAGUUCUCAGAAUGGAAUGAAACUUUUCAAGGAUUUUAUAUAUAAUAUAUAAGAAUUUCUGAAGCCAAGACCUACCGGAGAGGGGCCCCUAGGUGGGCACAACCCACCAGUGCAUGCCCUCCUCUCCUGGUGCGCCCAGGUGGGUUGUACUCACCUGGUGGCCCCGCAGACCUCAACCCUGGCACUAUAAAUUCCUAUUUUCGGAGAAAAAAUAAGGGAGAAAGAAUUAUCACUCUACCCUCGAAAACUGUUGCGAUCCCCUAUACUUGUGGGUUAUCAACAUGUUCUUAGUCGGAUCGUCAAUUCUACUCCAUCGUAAACGACAGUUUAUCAUCUCAUAGAAAUACAUGAUAUCUUUGCCUCUAUCACGAGAAGAAAGAAGUUGCAUAUGAGGCAAUAGAGCGCUCGACGACGCAUGGUACGAGUGCAAGCGCUCGUACCGUUGACCGUACCUCAUAAUGGCAAUGUCGCAUGGUCAGCUAUUUCACCCCUGCGCGAUUGGAUCGGUAAUCAGAGACGCCUAGCCACCAAAAACUCGUCCAGAAUGGAGAACUCUAGCCUCCAGAAGGAUUGCAGAGGGGGAAUUGAUCGAAGGACUCGACCCCCGCAUCACCGCAUCGAGAGGGCAUCAUCACCAUCCGUCUUCACUAUCACCAUCCCAUCUCCAUAUCUUUGUAAUAAAUUUGUCGCUGUGGAUUCACUUUUCAGUUACUUUGACUCCAUUCCCAUGUUCAUCAUGAUUCAUCCCAUGAUGUUCACGCCCUCGACGUGCGAGAAGUUUCCCUACUUCUCGGGGAUAUGGAGGAACCCUAGUAUGUUUAAGAUUGAAUGACAAUAUGAUGGCAUCCUCUUUAUAUUUUUUAUGUUAAUGAUCUUCUUGAUGUUGGGUGAAAUCAACCAUCCAACAUAUGCCUCCUCUGGAUGAAAGGUUAUUACUACUGGUGUGAAGGUGGGAAGCGGAGGUCGGUAGUGAUAGUUCUUAUCUCCCUCCUUCUUAGACAGUUGCAAUAGAGAUAAACGGAGACUGCCUCAGCUGCGUCCAUAGGGAAACCCUUAAUUACCAUUUGGUAAACGGAGUAGGGAUGAUGGGCAGUGGCAUAGGGGAAGGGGUUGCUGCAUGUUGAUACGUCUCCGACGUUCUAUAAUUUUUGAUUAUUUCAUGCUAUUAUAUUAUCAAUCUUGUAUGCUUUAUAUACCAUUUUAUAUCAUUUUGGGAACUAACCUAUUAAUUUAGUGCCAAGUGUCAAUUGUUGUUUUCUGCUUGCUUUUGGUUUUACAGAAAAUCCCUAUCAAACGAAGUCCAAACAUAAUUAAACUUCUUGACAUUUUUUGGGGACCAAAGUGACCCUAGAAGCUUCGGGGGAGUCCAGAUGACAAAGGAGGACAUUAUAAGGCAGCAGGGCGUGCCCAGGGGGUAGGCGUGACAUGCCCCCUUGUUGUCCCUUGUUGCUCCGUCUGACCUAAUUCCAACGCUAUAAAUUUCUAAAUAUUCAUAAACCCCCAGGGGAGCAUCUGAAACAAUUCUUCUGCCAACACAAGCCUCUGUUCUUUUGUGAUCUCAUCUGGAGGCAUUUUCUGGUACUCUGCCAGAGGGGGGAUCCAUCACGGAGGCUAUCUACAUCAUCCUUGCUGCCAUCCCCAUGGUGCGUGAGUAGUUCCCGCAGGAGCUUGCUACUUCUUGAGCUUGCGUUGGUUUUUCCCUUGAAGAGGAAAGGGUGAUGUAGCAAAGUAGAGAUAAAUAUUUCCCUCAGUUAAGAACCAAGGUAUCAAUCUAGUAGGAGGAACACACAAGCUUCCAAUGAUAGCACCUGCACAAACAAACAAAUACUUGCACCCAACGCGAUAAAGGGGUUGUCAAUCCCUUCACGGUUACUUGCAAGGAUGAGAUCUGAUAGUGAUAAGUGAAGCGCGAGAGUAAAUGACAAACUACUCCCAAAAAUAUAUAAGUGAAGAUCAAUGAGUAGUUAAAAUAAAUAAGUAUCUAUGUAAAGACUCUCUCCCACUAAAAACUUUCAGAUCUAAUGAGCUUAUUAAACAACGCACAAAAAGACGCUCCAAGCAAACGAAUAUUAUGCGACAAAUAAAAAUAUAGACUGAAGAUGAAAGAGGGGAUGUCUUCUGGGGCAUCCCCAAGCUUAGAAACUUGAGUCUUCCUUGAAUAUUACCUUGGGGUGCCUUGGGCAUCCCCAAUCUUAGGGUCUUGCCACUCCUUAUUCUCCUUAUAUCGAUAUCUCAACAAAAACAUGAAAACUUCAAUCACAGAAAACCUAACGAAACUCAUGAGAUAGGUUAGUAUGAUAAAGAAUAAAUCAUUCACUUUGGUACUGUCAAGACAAGAUUCAUAAUUGUUCUUACAUAAUUCUUAUUGUACUCUAUUAUUUCUACAAUUUAUGUUUACCAAUAUAAGUCAUAGAAACUAUAAACAAGCAAACAAUGCAUUGAAAACUGAUUCUGUCAAAAAACAGAACAAUUUGUAAUGAUCUGAACUAAAACCAUACUUCUGUAACUCCAAUUUUUUUUUGAAAAAUUAGGAAAACAUUGGAAAUUUAUAUCAAUAUUGUGUAAAAAAAUUAGACUAAGAUCACGUUCUAGCAAAUGAUAAAAAUUCUCGCACAGGGCGCAAAAGUUUUUGUUUUGCACAGAAUCAAUUCAACUUGCAUCCACACUAUCCCAAAGGCUUCACUUUGUCACAUUAUUGAAAGAAAAUAUACAAAACAUGAUUACGACAAUAGAUUAAUCAUGUUGACACAUAAAAACAGUAGGGGUAAAUAUUGGGUUGUCUCCCAACAAGCGCUUUUAUUUAAUGCCUUUGUAGCUAGGCAUGAUGAUUUUAAUGAUACUUACAUAAGAAUAGUAAUUGAAACAUGUAAUAGAGCAUCAUGAAUCAUAUGGCAAGCACAUUUAAGCCCAACUUACUUCCUAUUACUACUUGUGAGUUGCAUUGGGAUUUUCCCCGAAGAGGAGGGGAGAUGCAGUAUAGUAGAUAAGUAUUUCCCCUAGUGAGAACCAAGGUUGAUCAAAAGAAUAGGAGAAUCACGCAAAUCCUCAUGAACAACACCUACACGCACAAAAGCAAAUACUUGCACCCAAUGCAGGCAAGAGGGUUGUCAAUACCAUUGAACUUGUUACUUGCAAGGAUCAAAUCUUGUAGUGGUAGAUGGAUAAAUUGCUGCAAUUUUAUCAUAGCAUACGGUGGGUGAACCAAUUAAUCUUGGGCAAUUGAUAGAAAAGUGCAUAAUUAUGAUGAUAUUCAAGGCAAUGAUCAUGUAUAUAGGCAUCACGUUCGAGACAAGUAGACUGACUCCUACCUGCAUCUACUAUUAUUACUCCACCAAUCGACUGCUAUCCAGCAUGCAUCUAUGGUAUUAAGUUCAUAGAAAAUGGAGUAACACCCAAAACAAGAUGACAUAAUGUAGAAAAGGUAAAUCCAAUAAAUAUGAAAACCCCCAUCAUUUUACCCUUAAUGGCAAUAAUACAAUAAGUGUCUUGUCCCCUUCUGUCACUGGGAUAAUGAGCACCGAAAAUUGAACCCGUCACAAAGCACCUCUCCCCCUGAAGAUAAAUUAAUCUAGUUGGCCAAACCAAAUAGAUAGAUCGGAGAGAAAUACAAAGGUACAACAAUCAUGCAUAAAAGUUCAAAAAAGACUCAAUUACUUCUCAUGAAUAUUUAGAUCAUAAACCCACUAUUCGUCGGAUCCCAACAAACACACCUCAAAAGAAGAUUACAUCGGAUAUAACUCCAAGAACACUGAGAAGAGCAUUGUAUUGAAGAUCAAAGACGGAGAAGAAGCCAUCUAGCUACUAGCUAUGGACCCGUAGGUCUAUUAUGAACUACUCACACAUCAUCGAAAGGCAACAAGGAUGAUGUAGAAGCCCUCCGUGAUCAAUCCCCCCUCCGACAGAGUACCGAAAAGGCCUAUAGAUGCACGGAAGAACAGAAGCUCAUGGCGGCGAAAAAAGAGUUUCGGGUGGCUCUCUGUUGGUUUGGGAAUAUUUCUGAAUUUAUAGAGGUGGAAUUAGGUCAAGGGGUGCUACNNNNNNNNNNNNNNNNNNNNNNNNNNNNNNNNNNNNNNNNNNNNNNNNNNNNNNNNNNNNNNNNNNNNNNNNNNNNNNNNNNNNNNNNNNNNNNNNNNNNNNNNNNNNNNNNNNNNNNNNNNNNNNNNNNNNNNNNNNNNNNNNNNNNNNNNNNNNNNNNNNNNNNNNNNNNNNNNNNNNNNNNNNNNNNNNNNNNNNNNNNNNNNNNNNNNNNNNNNNNNNNNNNNNNNNNNNNNNNNNNNNNNNNNNNNNNNNNNNNNNNNNNNNNNNNNNNNNNNNNNNNNNNNNNNNNNNNNNNNNNNNNNNNNNNGUGGCUCUCUCAUCACUCUUCUAGCCUCCUCCCGUACCUUUUAGGGGCCCUUGUAGUCUAGAAAAAAUCAUCAUAAAGUUUCAUCACAUUUGGACUUCAUUUGGUACUGAUUUUCUGAAAAGCCAAAAACACACAAAAAACAUGAACUGACACUAGGCACUAGGUUAAUAGGUUAGUCCCAAAAAAUGAUAUAAAAUAGAAUAUAAAUGCAUAUAAAGCAUCAUAGAUUGAUAAUAUAAUAGCAUGGAAUAAUAAAAUAUUAUAGAUAUGUCAGAGACAUAUCAGCGCCCCAAGCUUAAUUCCUACUCAUCCUCGAGUAGGUAAAUGAUUAAAACAGAAUUUUUGAUGUGGAAUGCUACCUAACAUGUUUAUCAUGUAAUCUCUUUUACGGUAUGAAUAUUAAGAUCCGAGUGAUUCAAACCAAUAGUCUAGAAUUUGAUAUAAAGACAUCAAUAUUCAGGCAUACCAACAAAUAAUCAUGCUUUUCAAAAUAAAAAUGCUAAAGAAUGCUAUUCCUACAAAAUCAUAUAGCCUUAUCAUCCUUGGUCUUCCUAACACAAAGUAUUAAUCAUGAACUACCCCGAUGACAAGCCAAGCAAUUGGAUCAUACUUUUUAACACAUGAUGCGUCUCCAACGUAUCUAUAAUUUUUGAUUGCUCCAUGCUAUAUUAUCUAUUGUUUUGGACAUUAUUGGGCUUUAUUAUCCACUUUUAUAUUAUUUUUGGGACUAACCUAUUAACCGGAGGCCCAACCCAGAAUUGAUGUUUUUUUGCCUGUUUUAGGGUUUGGAAGAAAAGGAAUCUCAAACGGAGUCCAAACGGAAUGAAACCUUCAGAAACGUGAUUUUCUCAUCAGAUAAGAUCUAGGAGACUUGGACCCUCCAUCAAGAAAGCCACGAGGUGGUCACGAGGGUGGAGGGUGCCCCCCCUAGGGCGCGCCCCCUGCCUCAUGGGCCCCUCAAAGCUCCACCGACGUCGUACCCCCAGACGAUCGGGGACGGAGCCAAAAACCUAAUUCCAUCGCCGCAACUUUCUGUAUCCACGAGAUCCCAUCUUGGGGCCUGUUCCGGAGCUCCGCCGGAGGGGGCAUCGAUCACGGAGGGCUUCUACAUCAUCAUCCAAGCCCCUUCGAUGAAGUGUGAGUAGUUUACUUCAGACCUACGGGUCCAUAGUUAGUAGCUAGAUGGCUUCUUCUCUCUUUUUGGAUCUCAAUACAAUGUUCUCCCCCUCUCUCGUGGAGAUCUAUUUGAUGUAAUCUUCUUUUUGCGGUGUGUUUGUUGAGACCAAUGAAUUGUGGGUUUAUGAUCAAGUCUAUAUAUGAAUAAUAUUUGAAUCUUCUCUGAAUUCUUUUCUGUAUGAUUGGUUAUCUUUGCAAGUCUCUUCGAAUUAUCAGUUUGGUUUGGCCUACUAGAUUGGUUUUUCUUGCCAUGGGAGAAGUGCUUAGCUUUGGGUUCGAUCUUGCGGUGUCCUUUCCUAGUGAUAGAAGGGGCAGCAAGGCACGUAUUGUAUUGUUGCCAUCGAGGAUAACAAGAUGGGGUUUUUAUCAUAUUGCAUGACACUAUCCCUCUACAUCAUGUCAUCUUGCUUAAGGCGUUACUCUAUUUUUAACUUAAUACUCUAGAUGCAGGCUGGAUAAUGGUCGAUGAGUGGAGUAAUAGUAGUAGAUGCAGAAUCGUUUCGGUCUACUUGUCUUGGACGUGAUGCCUAUAUACAUGAUAAUACCUAGAUAUUCUCAUAACUAUUCUCAAUUCUGUCAAUUGCUCAACAGUAAUUUGUUCACCCACCGUAGAAUACUUAUGCUCUUGAGAGAAGCCACUAGUGAAACCUAUGGCCCCCGGGUCUCUUUCUCAUUAUAUCAAGCUCCAUCACUUUAUUAUUGCUUUGCUUUUACUUUGCUUUUACUUUUUACUUUGCAUCUCUAUACCAAAAAUACCAAAAAAUAUUAUUUAUCAUCUCUAUCAGAUCUCACUUUCGUAAGUGACGUGAAGGGAUUGACAACUCCUGAGCGCGUUGGUUGCGUUGAGCUAUUGUUUUUGUGUAGGUACGAGGGACUCAAGCGUAGCCUCCUUCUGGAUUGAUACCUUGGUUCUCUAAAACUGAGGGAAAUACUUACGCUACUUUGCUGCAUCAUCCCUUCCUCUUCGGGGAAAUCCAACCACUACAAAAAAUACACUUCCGUGAUGAUACGUGUUUGUGACAGUAGGUCGCUUUUUUUGUCAUGCAUGUACAUCCAUGACAAAUUUAUGACAAAAUCAAGAUAGUCAUACCUGUGCUGUCAUAGAAGUGUUCCAUGACAUUACCAAAAUUAUCAUCACGGAAGUGUCCACUUCCAUGACGAUAAAUCGCGCGUCACAGAAGUGCUUUCGUCAAGGGUGACCGACACGUGGCAUCCACCGUAACGGAACGCUGUUAAGCUAUCGGGUCGGGUUUUGGAUUCGAUAACCCGUUAACAGCCCCGACCAAUGGGGAUUUUCCAUGUGUAAAAUCAUCAUUGGCUAGAGGAAACACGUGUCGGCUCAUCCUCGGGACAGAUGUUAUCCACUCACUCGACAGAAGGCGCCUAUGAUACGUCGACACGUGGCACGACCCAACAAGUUUAAAUGGGCCGGCCCAACUAAAGGCCCAUAAGAUUUUGCGGACCAUAAUGGGCCGACCCAGCUAAAGGCCCACGAGAUUUUGUGGACCAUAAUGGGCUGGCCCACUAAAGGCCCACAAGAUUUUGCGGGCCAUAAUGGGCCGGCCCAGGUAAAGGCCCAGAAGAUUUUUGUGUGCCAUAAUGGGCCGGCCCAGGUAAAGGCCCACAAGAUUCUUGCGGGUCAUAAUGGGCCGGCCCAGCUAAAGGCCCACGAGAUUUCACCGAAAUUAAUGGGCCGGCCCAGCUGUAGGCCCACAAGAUUUUGAGGACCCUAGUAGGUCGGCCCAUUAACUGGCUGCCAUGUUUUGGGCCAAAUGCCGGCCCAUAUUUGAUCCGGUCCAUUAAUGGACUGCCACGCUCCGGGCCUAAUAGCGUCCCAUAUGAGAUCCGGCCCGUUAAAAGCCUACCACGUUCUGGGCCAAAUUACGGCCCAGAUCAGGUCCGACCCUUUAAGAGGCUUUGGGCUCAAUUAUGGCCCAUAUCAGAUUCGGCCCGUCAACUAGACACUAUGCUUUUGGGCCCACUUGCUAAAGGCCCACUUAGUAAUUCGGCCUGAUAUUAGUUUUGUCCUGUUAAGGGCCCGUUUAACAUUUCGGCCCUAUAUUAAUUUCGGCCUGUUAAAAGCCCGUCAUAUAGUUGGGCCUAACUACGGCCCGGUUUGCAUCCGGCCUGCUCGCAGCCGAUAUCUGAUUGGGCCAAACAAGGACCCAGACAAUUUUGGCAUGUUAAAAGCCCGUGAUUUGAAUUGCACAAUCAUGGGCCGGGGUUCAUUUCGGUCUGCUGCGUAACUAGUAGGAAUUAAUAACAAACCUACUCUAUACAAUAAAGAAAUUAUGGCAUAGUAACUAAGAAUAAACCUACACUACACAAUAAAGGAUUUAAGGUAUAUUACAUCCACCGAGCAUCAAAGUUCGCCACCAGUGAUCAUAAAGCGCAACGAAGAAGCAGAUUACAAAAAUUGGGCACCAUUGUAGCGUAACAAAAUAAUACUGAACCAAGACCACUUCCAAGACAGUUCAAGAAAGGUUAGCCUUGCGGGGGAACUGCUGUGCAAGCUGCUGAGCAAGGCUGUGAGACCGGCCUAGCAUGUCGGUCAUAGCUUCCAGGUGUAGCUGUUUAGCGAUGAGGUUCUCAUUGGUGUUCUCCGCAAUCUUUCUUAGAGAUAGGACUUCAAGUCGAAGUUGAGUUGCAGAAUGCCUUUCUGCUAGAACUUGGGACUAAAGAAGUCGAACUGAUUCAGACAACGAAUUCUGUGAGCUUGUCUGACUGUUAGUCUCAAGUAACUUGAACACUGCAUCAAGACAAGACUUUGGGGUUGUCUCGCUAUCUUCAAGAUGUUUUGCCUUCUUUGCUGCAAUAUAUGUUGGGUUUGUCUCACAGCCUUCAACAGACUUGUGCAUGCCAUCAGGCAUAUCACCCUGAAACAAAGCAGAGAGAUGACAUGUUUUGCACGUGUAUAAACAAAGAUGAUAACUGUUCUGUCAAUUCUAUCCAAUUUCAAAUUAGAAAAUAAAGUGUAUGUUCAAAAUAUCAAUAGCAUAAUUUGGCAUCGUUCAUAAUACGGGGAGCUUCACCACACUACUGGAUUACCAUGUCAACAUAACAAGCAUAGAUGAAGGGCAAAGAAAAUCAUUGUAUCUAUUUUGGAUAAUGUGCAUGGCAUGUUGUUCAUAUCAUCAGCAACAUCAGUAAGAUAAAACAGGAGAUGACAAGGUGCAAACGUGGGCUGCUUCACCACACAAUGGAUUAUAGAUCCACAAAAACAAGCAUACAUAUAGGGAGUAUUAAGUAAUGUGCAUGGUAUGAAUAAGGAAUUUGGUUUUACAAGUAAAACUUAGAACUUACAGUUCUUACGAACAUGCAUUUUGGUAGAAACAGCAAACUAAAUAGCAGUAAACGAUAGGGAGUAUGAGCAAAUUAAACAACAGUUAAGGAUAAAGGCUUUAGAAGGACUGACUUACAUUAACAGUUAACACCAGCUUUAUAAUGCCCUUCUCCAUGGCAAGGGAAGGAUAACUCAAGAAUUUCAGCACAAAAUCUUCUUCAUAAGCAUUGCCUGUACUCUACAUUUUGUAGAGAGUAAUUAUAGAUAUGAUAAUACUGGAAGGGAUAGAGGAUAAUGAAGAUAAGAUGCAGAUUGAUGCUACAUAAUCAACUACCAAUCCCUGGAAGUACAAGUGUUAUAGGACAAAAUGUACUGGCAAAAGCAAUGGACUACACUUCUGCACUGGCAUUGUCUGUGUAUUCUACUUGUUGGUAAGAUUAAAUAUAGAUCUGAUCUUUUUUAAUAAAUGGUGGGCGAGGGAGAUAAGAUGCAAAAUGCCACAAAAUGAACCAAUCUCUCUUCCCAUAAUACAAGAGUGUUUUGAACACUGGUGUACUGUACAAAACAUUCUUAUAUUAUGGGACGAAGGGAGUAGCUAUUAAUGUAAGUACAGUGAUAGACCACGUUUAGUCCUUACAAGAGGACUGCAGAGCUAAACCUCUUCAAAAGCAUUGGGUUGAUUAUACAUUUAUGUAAGAGUCCAUACGGAUCUUAUAAUGUCCACCAAAUGGACGAUUACGAGGCUAACAUGUGCAGUGAUGCUACAUAAUCAAACAACUACGAAAGUAAGUAUGGUCAUACAGGGCAAGAGGUACUCACAAGAGCAAUGCAGUGUGCAGUAUAGUUGUGAGAUUCCGUGAUCCCUUGAGAACGAAUGUUCUUCUGCUAACAAUUUUCGUACAAGUGAGACAUUAAGGCAAAUGCAGAAAUCUAGUUCAAAUUGUGAUGUGAUAUCAUAGACAGUAUCUUACACUACAGCCGAGACCAAUGUGUAACAAGAUUAUUCCAGUCAUCAUCGGAUAAAUGUAGCACCGGAGACUUUACAGAAAUUUCAUUCAGAGGCUUGCCAUCGAAGUGCGCUUGCCUCAGGUAGGAACGAUACUUCAUCAACGAGUGCUAGAAAAGUGCAACCAACCCUUGCUCAUCAUCACAAUCUAGUUUGCGCCUUGCCUAUUUAAAAGAAUGAAAUCUUGUGUCUUCUGUCAGCAGAAACAUAUGCAGUAAUGACCAUGAAUAACAUUUGUACAUUACUUACGCGUAAGUUGCGAAGGAAGACUGGAACUUGUUCUGUGUCUGCGGUAUAAUCUUUCCAUGAAGGAAAGAUGCGCACAAAGUUCCUGACAACAACAUAAGCUUCGUCUUCUAAACUGGGAAGAAAUGGAACAGGGGUCCUAUUUUCUGCAAUUGGGGCUCUCUCUGGUUCGUAAAGGGAUUUGGCAACUGGAUUUGGUGUACUCUUUGCUGGAAUGGGGGUUUUGCGUCGUACAGCUGGUGCUAUGUCAACUGGCAUAAUCAUACUGUUUGCUGCAGUUGGGGUCUGCUGAGUUGGGGCAUCAGAAAUGACCAGUGUAGUAGGGCUAGAGUCUGCUAGAGUUGGGGUAUUUUGUGGGUCAGGUGAUAUUGCAAGUACACCUAAUGGGCUAUUUGAUUUAUCAGGUGCCACUACCUUUUCCAAAUACUUUGCUCGUGCUCCUCCACCAUCAGCAAUCGCCCUCUUCCUUUUGAAUGUCUGAUACACAAGAACAACAUUUGAAUGGAUAAAUAUGGUAUGAUGACAGAUGGAAUAUGUACUGAAAAUGGAUAGGCAGGGCGUAUUCACAUACACUAUGUGUAAACUAAGCUAAUGGCAGUUCAACAAAGUAGAAGCAACGCAAAGCAUCAGUUGCAAGAUAUGUGCGAGCAAUGUAACCUUGGAAAGUUAGAGCAAGUACCUUGAUGGGUGAAUAAGAUAGGGCAUCUUCCUCUGAAUCCUCCACUAGGGAGCUACAUUGACUUAGGUCUCCCUCUAGCCCAGAAUCACUGUUAGGAUCAUAUUCUGAGCAUGAAUCUGUAGGUGGAGAGUGUUUGCAUUGCAUUGCAGCCAGACUUGAUUUCAGUCCCUUAAUGCCAAGUUUGACAGCCAUGGCAUUGUUCUGCUUUAUUCUUUUCAUGUGCGCAAGCUCAUAAUCAUUAUGAUGCUGUUUAGAAUCUGAGAUUCAUGAAAACAUAAAAUGUAGUCAGAUUAUCUAUGGAAUGCAUUGCGGUUUCAACUCGGAGAGUGUCUCCCUAUAUACCCCUGCAUAUGCAAAGUUCACCUCCCCAACUGUGCUGACCAUACCACACACAGAGACACACACCCGAGCGGAGAACAUGCAUUUUCGAAACUAAUUUAGGAACAUUUAGCUGACCAAUUAAACAACUCUGUUUUAAUAAUAUCAGAUUCGUAUUUGAACAACUAAGCUUGUUUAGCUUGAGGUGGAGCAGUGUUAUUAUGACACGAAGCAUGUAUUCUGAUCGUAUAAUGAUCAUAAAAGGGGGAAACUCUAAGCAUAUAUUUUUUUAGCAAAAGAGGGUUUCCCCUCUGAUUUCUAUUAAAGAAACCACCACGGAACCAACAUGAUGAAUUAAACCCUAAGCAUGAUCAAUUAAACCGUAUUAUGGCUGUGCCAUGGCAGAUUUGAAGCUGCAAACCGGAGAAAUGAUAUUUAGCAUCCAUUGUUUGCUUCGAACUAAGAACUAAAUUCUAAGAGAUGAAAAGAAAGUAGAGUAACCAAGUUAAGAUCUAUUUACUGGUUGAGAUCAAAAAGUUGAGGAGAUAUGAAGUACCACCUCUCUUGCGGCGCCGUGUAGGCAUCGGGGGUGCGAUGGCUGUCGGUGGCGUUGAAGCAGAUCUGCGAUGGUAGACGGGUGCAUCAGGGGAUAAGUCCCAUUGCGGUGGAAGAGAAGGCCGUGUGAGCGGCCCCGGCAAAGAGGACGACGACACCGAUGAAGCGAGAGGACGCGAUGCAAGGCUAUUGGUCCGUCGCCGUGGAUGAGAAACGUCCAUCUCUAGCAGUGGACGACGCGGUCUUGGUAGGUGCUCUGGCAUGGUGGAGGACGGUGGCGAUGGAUGUGGUGGAGGACGGCGAUGAUGGAUGGGGUGGCGGACGGAGGCUGGUGUGGGAAUGGGGUGUUCUAGUGCGGACGAUGUACGAAUGGGAAAAUGGAGGGAGAGGUACGGGGAACCAUGUUUUUGGGACGCGCUUGUCUGAAAUAUUAUAAAGUUACGAACUUAUCCCCCGUUUCAAAUUUGGACGUCUCGUCGGUUGGGGAUAGGACGGUAAUCUUGCAUCUCCCAAAUAUUUGCCGGUAACUAUUUCGGGCGAGGAGAGGGUGUUUUGCCGCCCACGGUUGGCGCCCAUGGUGUAUGAAUGGGGCUGACAGGUAGGGCGGUUGUGUCACGUCUGAUGGAAGUUACACAUCUGCCCCUAUUUAAAAUAUUAGCCUACAUCUAUUUUGGACGAGGAGAGGGUGUUUUGCCGCCCACUGUGUAUGAAUGAGGAAUGGAGGGAGAAACAGAGGUCUUUCGGAUGAGCUUGAAUCAAAUGAGUUUUGCCGCCCAUGUUUGACGCCCACCGUGUCGGAAUGGGCUCAGAGGCGGUCGUGUCACGUCUAAUUGAAGUUACUAACCUACCCCUGUUUAGAGCAGUGGAAAUCGGGCCGAUGGAUUGUCAGUGUAAUGGGUAGACAGUAAUUUCCAUCUCCCAAACACUUGGCUUCGGGCAGCCGAUGUGGGAGUGGACAUUUUGCUAUUUCUUUUGAAUUUUGGGACAAUAAGCAUCCACGUUUACCCUGGCAACUAAAUUCGAAUCCAUUUUGUAUUCCUAUAUGAAUCUUUAUAAAUCAUUCUAUGUGUUUUUAUAUAUCUUCAAAAGGACGACAAAGAUGUAUUCCACUGUCAUAUAUGAAUAUGGUUUACAAAUGCCGAUACUCAAAUUCAGAAACUAGAAUCCAGUUUACGGUGAAUUCGAAUAUUUGGAACACUUCAUGUCCAACUCAAAUGUCAUACGCAGCAUAAUGUGUACUCCCAUUUAGAUAUGUACACAAGCGAUGUAUCAAGAUUCAAAUACCGAGUCAAUCAACCAAGAAUGUACGGAACUAACAAACAUAUAAACACUUAUAGAGUAUAUGGAUCAAUAAUAUCAACUAACAUACAUAAGCUAGUCCACUGUACCUUUUUUGGCUACAACAACAUCCUUUUUUUAGCCAGCAUCUUGGCCCUUUCCGAUGCGUGCCACUUAUGGUCCAUCUAUACUACUAUUGCUGAAUGCACAUUCAGCCCGAUUGGCAUAUUUGUAGGUCUGGCACAACAAUCCAAAGGAAAUGUCUCUGAGUCUUAUCAAUUAAUACAGACUUGCGCUCAAAUAAAAUUACAAAAAAAAACA